rnacentral:lncRNA from 1 species
AGGCCCAAUCAAAGGAGAAGAUCAGUUGGGAAGAGGUGAUGGCGGUGACUUGGCCCCUCCUUCGGAUCCAGGGAGCAGUCACUUGGCUCCUCCUCCACCUCCUCCAUAUCGAAAGAUCAAUGCACCUCCACCUCCGAAGACAGAUUUGCCUCCUCCUCCACCUCCACCUCCAAAGACUGAUCUUACCCAGCCGCCUUCAGGAUCAUGUGUGGAAGUGAAGUUGUACAGAGGGCCGUGCAUCAACAUGCUUUGCGCUGGUGCAUGUAUCGCACAGUUGCAUCAGGGCGGCCACUGUCGUGGGAGUAUUUUUACUGGUGGUUGCUAUUGUUUCGUGUGUUCCAUAACAAAGUCUAGUCCGGCAUUACAUUGAUGUGGAACAUGCAAAAUGUGGCUUGAGUUUUUUAUUGGUUCAAUCCAACAAUAAAGGAUGUGCUUAUUAUUGUAUUUCUCUUUUAAUAACGAAAAUUAAGUGAAUAGGCUUUCUACUCUGUUCGAGUGUCUAGAACGAUUCGACCUCCUUACAACAAUGUUUCUAAGGGGAUAUUCAAGAUCCACACCCAAUUCUUUGUCCCAGCAGAAACUAUCCUUUAGCUACUGGGUCGCCUAUACUCCCUUACUGGAUUUGCAUGUUGUCGGAAAUUCCACCUCUUNNNNNNNNNNNNNNNNNNNNNNNNNNNNNNNNNNNNNNNNNNNNNNNNNNNNNNNNNNNNNNNNNNNNNNNNNNNNNNNNNNNNNNNNNNNNNNNNNNNNUUUUUAAUUGAAAAUAACAAAAUAGAUAAUAGUUUGGAUAGUCAAAAUUAUUAAUUAUGAAAAUAGAAAAAAAUUGAAACUAUAUGAGAAUUCAUAGAGAAAAUUCAAAUCUAAAUUCACUUUGAAUUUAGAUUGAAUUUUCUCUACAAUUUCGAAUAUAGUUUCAAUUUUCAGCGAGUUUAGGUCCGUAAGCCUGCUUUAGAGAGGAGCUCGAUGGAGAAGCUGCGACGGGGCUUAUAAACAAGUGUUAGUCCCCCUCGCUGGGCGAGGUGGGACUAAACUUAUCGUGUAGCCGAGGAGGGGCUUUAGUCCCGGGUGGAGCCACGCCCCGGGACUAAAGACCCCCUUUAGUCCCGGGUGGAGCCACGCCCCGGGACUAAGGACCCCCUGCUUCCCGCCUCCUGGUCUGCCCGAAAAGAGGCCUUUAGUCCCGGGUCGUGGCUCCAACCGGGACUAAAGGGGGNNNNNNNNNNNNNNNNNNNNNNNNNNNNNNNNNNNNNNNNNNNNNNNNNNNNNNNNNNNNNNNNNNNNNNNNNNNNNNNNNNNNNNNNNNNNNNNNNNNNNNNNNNNNNNUUCGACCCACGCGCGGGGACUAAAGAUCCACCUAUAUAAGCGGGACUUCGAAAAAUUCCAGCCCAAAUCGUUCAUUUCUUUUCUUCUUCCUCUUUUUCUCCUGCCCGGCGCGGCACAGCGACGAACUCGACGACGCCGUCAGGCUGCCUGCCGUCCUGCUCGCCGCCGCCUGUCGUCCUCCUCGCCGUCGCGCCGUCCUCCUCGUCGUCGCGCCGUCCUCCUCGCCGCCGCGCCGUCCUCCUCGCCGCGGCCGGUAAGCCCCCCCGCCCCCUCCUCCCCAACACUGCGGCCAGUAGAAGAAAAGAAGAAAAAGGAGAAGAAAAGAAGAAAAAGGAGAAGAAAGGAAGAAAAAGGGAAGAAAAGAAGAAAAACAAUUUUUUGUCAUUUAAUUCCUAUUGUUAUUAGGUUUGUGUAGAUUAUUAGGGUUAGUAAUAUUUUGAAUUAGUAAAAAGGAAAAUAAGAAGAGGAGGAGAAUAAAAGAAGAAAAAGGAGAAUAAGAAGAGGAGGAGAGGAGAAGAAGAGGAAAAAUAGAAGAAGAGGAGAAGUAGAAGAAGAGAAAAAAUUAGAAGAGGAGGAGAGGAGAAGUAGAAGAAGAGAAGAGGAGAAGUAGUAGAAGAAGAGGAGAAGUAGAAGUAGAAGAAGAAGUAGAAGAAGAGGAGAAAUAGAAGAAGAGGAAAAAUUAGUUUAGGGUUACAAGAACAAGAAAUAUUGUAUAGUGUAUAUGCUUAAGUGUUAAUAGUGUUUCUUAGAUUAUUGCUUAAUUUUGCUAUUGUAUAUGCUUAAGUGUUAAUAGUUUAAUUUUCCUAUUCUAUAUGCUUAAGUGUUAAUAGUUUAUUUUUAGCAAGAAAAUUAACUAGUUUAUUUUUUUAGUUCAUUUUACGAUGCCUGUCCUGCAUCCUCGUCGUCGACUCGGCGGAGGACACCUGCUUGAUCAGAGGGGCCCUGUUCGGGACUGGGCUCCGCCCGGCUGGUAUUGGGAGGUGCUACCUUCCGGGAGGCGUAGGUUGGUGAGGAGCCAGCUCGUCGUUGACCCGAUCCUUGUUUGGUGGCGGUCGCGUGGGCCAGUGAGGGUGCCGAGGCUUCCGGACACCGCGGAGGUGGUAUGUCACCGUGUCAGCGAGGAGGAUGAGCACGUCCGUCGCUACAUGGUUGCGUUGGAGGGCAGGUUCGAGCAUACCUGGCAGGUUCUUCGGGGAUCUCACUGGAGCUAUGAUCCUGUGAUGGUUCCUUCNNNNNNNNNNNNNNNNNNNNNNNNNNNNNNNNNNNNNNNNNNNNNNNNNNNNNNNNNNNNNNNNNNNNNNNNNNNNNNNNNNNNNNNNNNNNNNNNNNNNGCGGAGGCGGCCGGCUGGUGACCCCGUUCCCGCCACGCCUGCCCGUAACGGACAGCGCUGGGUGGGCCCUGCCGCCACCUCCCAAGGCGGACGGCCGCUCUGUGCUGCUCUUCCCGCUCGAGGCAUGUGGUAUUGGAUGUAUUUCGCUGAGUACGAGGCCGCGCUUCCCGCUCGAAAUUUUGCCGCUCUAAGUUGCAUGUGGUAUUGGAUGUAGUCCAUCCGUUCCAAAAUAUAAGACCUUUUAGGUAUUUCAUUCGGAGACUACAUACGGAACAAAAUGAGUUAAUUUAUACUCUAAAGUAUAUCUAUGUACAUCCGUAUGUAGUUUAUUAUACAAUUUCUAAAAUGCCUUAUAUUUAGCAACGGAGGGAGUUUAUUUUUUACGGAGGGAGAUUUCCUAAAUAUAAGUUUUUUAAAAAGUUUGUACUAGAAGACUACAUAUGAUGUAUAUGGACUCAUUUUAAAAUGUAGAUUCUGUCAUUUUGCUUUGUAUAUAGUCAUGUGCGCCUAAGUUUCCCGCUGCAGUUUCCCGGCUAAAUUCCCACGCGUUAUUUUCUCACCUAAGUUUCCCGCCAAAUUNNNNNNNNNNNNNNNNNNNNNNNNNNNNNNNNNNNNNNNNNNNNNNNNNNNNNNNNNNNNNNNNNNNNNNNNNNNNNNNNNNNNNNNNNNNNNNNNNNNNGGUGUCCACCGCCCGCGCCGAUACCCGUCGGGCGCUACGGUUCUAGAUGUAUCAGUGAUGCUAUAUGUAUGAUAGUAUUCGAGGAGUAUUAGUGAUAAUAUUCGACGAUGUACGGACAAAAGAGAUGAUGUAUUUGCUUAUAAUUGAAUGCAUGCUAAUUUGAAUACUACUUUAUUUUACGAUUUGGUUUUGCUUAUUGAAUGCUCAAAUUGGAAAAGUACUCCUACUUUGAAUACUAUGCAGAAAUCAAGGAGUCCCGGGUGGAGCCACGACCCGGGACUAAAGUUGGUUUGGAACGGAGUUCCUGAUAGAAUAAUUCUCUUUUGGUACAAAGGUUAAGAGAAUCCGUUUUUUGCAGAACUAUGGAUCCGCAUAUCAGGAACUUCGAAGAGGAAGAACUUCUCGAAGAUAUAAUCAAAGACAACCCCGACGUUGAACCAGCUGAAUCUCCGUCGUCAUAUCUAAACCACGAAGUUGGAAUGGAGGUCGAGCGACACGAAGAUGAAGCCGAUGGGGCAGGAGAUAGGUCCAAUGAUGGAGAAGUUGAUAGCUCCACUGAUGGAGAAGCUGGUGAAGAAAUAAUAAAGUCCGGCGAGGUAUACAUAUGAAGUUCGACAAUCACUUGUAAUAUGUGAAAAAUAUUGAAGAUAGCUCUAUAUUGUAUACAUAUACAUUCAUUUGACGAAUGUUUCUCCCUCUUAGGCCUCCACAUCGAGCAAAACUACGAAACGAGGCCCGACUAGAAAGUUGGAUGCACGGACGCAUUACACCUUUGAGGUGAUAUUGCCUACGGGCGAACCCAAGCUUCCUAAGAAUGUUGCUGACACAUUCAAGAAGCAAUGCGGAGCUGUCGUUAGGGAUCACGUCCCGAUCAGCGUUCGGGAGUGGAACAAGCGCAAAGGGGCAGCCGAUAGUGACUAUGUCGCCGAAAGGUAAAAAGAUAAUCUUUGGAAUGAUCUCAUGUCACAUUUCAACCUGCCAGAAUGUGAGAAUGAAGACGCCGCAGACAAACUGACGGCCAAAGUCAAGCAGUGGACUCUGAAGAAGAUGGUCGAACUGUUCCAUAGCUGGAAGAAGAAGCUAUGUAAAAACUAUCUGAAGACACAGAAAGUGCCAGUAUUCGAGGGGUAUCUAGCCAAGCAGGUGAAUCACUGGAAGGCAUUUCAAGAGUACAAGGAGUCAGAAGAUGCCCAGACAUUAUCAGAAAAGAACAAGAUAAAUGCCGACAAGAAGAUAUAUCACCACAAGCUGGGGCGAGGGGGCUAUGAGACUGCCAUCCCAAAGUGGGAUAAGAAAGAGCAAGAUCUGAUAGAUAAAGGCGUUGUACCUGAACCACUCCGUGAUGAGUGGGAAUUGAGAGCAAGAAAUUGGUUCCUUGCGCAUGAUGGGUUGUACGACGAAACAACAGGGGACCUCAUCUGCAAUGACAAUCUUAGGAUACCCAGGGAGAAUUGGAAAAGGAUGGUGAAAGAAAUUAAGGAGGGAAGAAGAAAGUUCACUGCAGAUAGAGAGAAAGAUUUGCUCAUAGUGGUCCUCGGCAAUGACGAACAUGGAGGACGAACGCGAGGCUUUGGUCCUUCUUACCCGUGGUGGCUUGGGUUUGCCAGAGACCAAGACACUUACAGAAGCCGAGAGAGAGCAAAGAAGCGGCAGCAGGAUGAGGAGAAUGACAAGUUCAACCAGUUGCUUGCCAAGAUUAGCGAGCAACAGAAGCGGAUUGAUGAGCUUAGAGGAGUACCGCGCCAGGAAGAUCCUGCAGUUGAUAUUACCGGCGCCCCAUCUAACCGGAAAAGCAGCGUGGCUGAAUCUGAGGCCCCGCCCGACGAUGAACGAAGAAUGAUAGAGGGCGGUCCCGGCUACCCCUUGGAUGGAAUCAAGGAGUCAACAUCAUGUGAACUCCAUCAGAAAUUCAAGAACAUAUCCAUGAAGGUGGCCAUCGGANNNNNNNNNNNNNNNNNNNNNNNNNNNNNNNNNNNNNNNNNNNNNNNNNNNNNNNNNNNNNNNNNNNNNNNNNNNNNNNNNNNNNNNNNNNNNNNNNNNNGGGCGGCGGACCUGAUGUGCGGCGGCGUUCGUGGCCCCAUGGCCGGCCGUGGUCGGGUUGGAUGGCGACGGAGGCGCUCCAUACGGCGAGGGCAGCGGCUGGCGCAAGGGCGGUCAUCGAGGGCUGUGGAUCUGGCGUUUCCUGUCCAGAUCCGUCACGGCUUGGACUUCUUCGGUCUGUGGCGCGAGGAGGAUCGGUGUGGGGUGGCGAGGCCUCUGCCGGCAUGGCGACGGCGGUCUUCGUCUACAUGACGUGCCUCCCUCGGUUCCAUCCAGUCACGAGAUCGGGGGGUCGCGACUUCCGGUGAAAACCGCGCCGACCUCGGUCAUGGCGAACGAUGGCGGCGUCUAGGACGUCGUUACCAGCCCAUGGCAUCGUUGUUGCAGGUCGUGGCACCACACUCGUGAUGCUCCGAGGGAAACCUUAGAUCGGGAUCUACCGGUCGGACGAUGAUGGCAUCUUCGAUGUCAUUUCCCUCAUGAGGGCAUCAUUUUGGAGUACGUGCUGGGUGGAGGGGACAAGAGGAGGAGCGGUGUUUGGUCUACUGUGAGCCAUACGGUGUAGCCCGGCGGCAUGGCGCUGCGGUGGUUCGUCGACAGGCACGUGUAGGCGGACACGUGCAGGAUGGUGGCGCUGUCUGGCACCGUGGUGGCGUCGACGGCAGACCUUGCAAGGAUGAUGCGUUUGUUCUAGCUCUGGAGAGGGUACGGUGGUAGAUGGUGGAGGCGGCCUCUGCGCCGGACCAGUUUGGGAUCCAGUCUCAGUGGUGGUUGGGCUGGAGCAUCAGACUAUAGAUGUUAGGAUUUGGUGCGAUAUCUAUUUGGUAUUUGGCCCGGAUAUUCAGCACACCUUCAUCAAGGAAUAGGAGUAGCAACGUGUGUUGUCUAGAUGGUGGCUUCAGGCUGACUGAUGUAUUACUUUGUAUGGUCUCUGUGAAUAAUUAAUAAAAUGACUGUAUGCAUCGUCUAGAUGCAGAGGCCGGGGGUAUAUCCUCCUUUUCUAAAAAAAAAAUCCAUGUUGUUGUUCAUUUAGGAGUUUAUUAAUGGUAACCUUUCCAUUAUGUGCAAAAGAGUGCAAAAGUGUUGCCUUUCAUUAUAACAAAAAGCUAUAACAUUGUUAGUUAAAUCAAGGUUGACCUCCAUGUUCAGUUGUCAGAGCAUGUUUGAAUGUGAUGGUGAACAUAAUGAUAGGUAGGCUCCUGAAGCUUGUUUUUUCAAUUGGGGUUGAAUUAUAUAUUGUUGGUUCAUUCUUCACAAAUUUCCGUUAUACAUAUGUUUUUAGAUUGUGUAAUGGAUGCAAAAAAAUUUCUCUACUCUAUUGAACAACAUAAAUUAAGCAUAAAGAUACCCUAAGGAUAUAAAGUUUUCCCAACAUGUACUAUGGGGGCCUGGAGGGCUCUAUGCUUAAUGAAUUAAAGCCUUUGAAUAAAUGCAUGACGUCCCUCUAUUUAUUAUAGAAAAUCCAUAUAUGUUGAUAGAAAAAAAUAAUAACUAAAAUCCAUUCAGGGUGGAAAAUUAUGUACUAGCAAAAAGUUCAGUAGAAAAUUAGUGAUUAAAUUCAAAGUUUAUCAGCACCAAAACCAACAAAAGUCCUACUUUCUUUCACAACACACAUUAAAUGAGAGAUGUUUUCAAUACAACAAUAAGAUGGAAUGCAUUGGAGCUAUAUAUAAGACAUAUAUUAAAUGCAUAUGAUAUUGCUUAAGGCUGGUCAUAGUGGGGAGUAUCAUAUAGUAGUAUCAUGUAUAUGAUACUAUUGUAUGAUACUACCUUUAUAGUGCAUAGUAUCAUAAACUAGUAUUAUAGAUGACCUCAUUUAUUGACAUGCAUGACACAUACUAAAUAUGUUACGGUAUCUACCUUCAUAGUGCAUGGUAUCAUAAACUAGUAUUAUAGAUGACUUCAUAGUGUACAUCUGACACCGAUCGAAUGGGUUAUCAAAUACGUAUGACAAGGCCUAGAGAACGAGAAUCAAACAUAAGUUUGAUCGUUCUAUCGUCCUAAUUAUUCUGUAUUUGCCUUGUUAAUUUUGUAUUCGGUUUGAACAACAAGCCCAAUGAAAGGAGAACACCAUUUGGAUGCAGGUGGCGGCGGUCUCGUGGCGCCUCCUCCUGGUCAGGAGAGCAGUCAUCUGGCUCCUUCUCCUCAAACUUCUCCAAAGGGUAAUCCAAAUCCACUUCCAGUGACUGGUCAUUUGCCUCAUCCUCGGGCUCCAUUGACCCAGCCGCUUCCAAAAGGCUGUGUGGAAGUGAGGAUAAACGAAGGGCCGUGCUUCCUCGUUGUCUGCGCAGCAGAAUGUCUCCUGGAGUCAUACACGGGCGGCCUGUGUCGUGGUGGACGUCUUCUUUCCGGUGCCUGCUAUUGUGUCCAGUGUCCCGUAGCCAAGACUAGCCCACAUGUGGCUUGAGUUUUCAGUUGAUCUAUAAAAUAAUACUCUCUCCGUCCCAAAAUAACUGUCUCAAGCUUAGUACAACUUUAUAUUAGAGCUAAUUACAAAGUUGAGACACUUAUUUUGGGACGGAGGGAGUAAACGAUAUGGUGAUCGUGUUCCACGAUUAAAUAAAUAAUUGGACAUAUGGCAUGUGUUGCUCCUGCUCGCAUCUUUGUCCUCGUGAUCGCGGGAGCUAUAGAAUUCCUCUGGUUCCCAACAUGAAUAUCUAUAGGCUCUGGAUGGGCUGUAGCAUUUGUCGGCCGUACCAGGCACCUCCUCUCUAGGUUGCAUUCCAUGUGAGAGAGUGAGAAUAAAUGCACAUGAAAAGAUUUACAUAGACUUAGUGAUCUUGGUGUCGAGGCUCCGCAUAGGGAAAAUCGAGCGAUCGUUUUAACUGGACCAGUCCAUUCAAGCGAAACAUCUCCAGAAGGAUUUUCUUGUUUUAGAAGGUCCUUGAUCCGGUUUAUUUUCCGUUUCCUUUUUUUCAUUUCUGUUUCUGUUUCAAAAAAUGUUUUGGAUUUUUAAAAAUUAUUCUUCAAACUCAAAAAUGUUUUUUGCUUUUUUCCAAAAUGUUCUGAAUUUCAAAUAGUUGCUUUUAAAAAAAACAUUCAUAACAUAAAAAAUAUUCGGGACUUUCAAAAAAAUGUUCGGUGUUUUAAGAGAAUGUUCGGUAUUUUCAAACAAUCUACCAAAUAUAAAAAUUCUGUUUAAAUUUUAAACUAAGUUUGUAUUCGAUUUUUUUCUUAAAUUUCGACAAAUGUCCUUGCUUUUAAAAAUGUUCCAAAUUUCAAACAAUUUCCAUUCUUCAAACUUUGUUCAUAAGUGCAAAUCUGUUCUGGAUUUCCAAAAAAUAUUCUGGAUUUUAGAAAAUUGUUUUUCAAAUUCGCAAAAAAUACUAUUUAAAAAAUAAUAUGUUGUAAAUUGAAAAUAGUUGUCGUUUUUAAAAAAAAUCAUAACUUCAAAAAGUUUUCGGUAUUUUUAGAAAAUGUUCGUUAUUUUAUGAGAAAUCUUCGGUAUUUCAAAACAAAUUAAAAUAUCAAAAAUUUGUACAAUUUAUAAUCUAGUUUAGUGUUCAAAAAUUGUUCUGAAAUUUUGAAAACUUUUCUUGAUUUUAAAAAAUGUUCCAAAUUUCGUACAGUUGUCAUUUUUCAAACCUUCAUAAAUUUAAACAAUGUUCUGGAUUUUUAGAAAAUUUUCUUUAAAUUCGAAAAAUGUUUUUGCUUCAAAUUUGAAAAUAGAAGGAAAAGGAAAUAAAAAAGAACCAAAAAAUAAUAAAAAGAUAGGAAAUAAACAGAAAAGGAAAAAGGAACAAAAAAAGAACAAAAAAGGAAAAUAUCAGAUUUUCUUUAGACAAACAAAAAACUGGACCGGCCCAGCCUGGCGAACCCCCUGUGCAUCCGCUCGGCAGUUCGCCGCAAUGACUGGUGCAUAGGAGGCCUCCUCUGUUCGUCCCAAAAUAAAUGCCGUUGAUUUAAUACUAAAUUUACACUAACUUAAUAUUAAAUUAACGACAUUUAUUUUGAGACGGAGGGAGUGUAUACAUAGCAUUGUCUGCCGUGAGCAGCAUGGAGCGAUCGCUUGCUCGCGUCAUGCGCUGUGGUCUAGCCGAUUAUGGGUAUCUGAUAGCUAGUUGGUGCCGGCUUACUAUGGUUUGCUGAUUUCUUUUACCGUUGGGUUUCAUCGUUUUUCCUUUUGGUAUAUAUUUUAAAUAUUCUGAAAUACAUAUAUAAGAAAAAUAUAUGGCUCAUCUUUUUUCAUUUUGAUAUAGAUUUUAAAUAUUCUGAAAUACAUAUAUAUGAAAAAAUGUAAUCCCUCUGAUCUAUAUUAAUUGUCGAAGCUUGAGUACAUAGUUGUACUAAGGAUGCACAAUUAAUUUGGAUCAGAGAGAAUACUAAAUUUUAAAAAUGUAUAAAGAGAAAUCAUCAAUAAUUUUGAUAAUAUUAAUUAUUUAUUUAAAUAAAUAUUCAUUGUGUCUUAAUAAAAUAUUUAUCGUGUAUUUAACAAUAUUUCUCAUGUUUCUUUUAGAUAAUCCCUAGCUGUUAGUAUGGGCUGGUUUCUCGCACUUAAUGGAAGUGGUUCAGGCGGCAUGGGUCGAUCGUCAACACUAUGAAGGACCAAGGACGACUAAUUACAUAUUUCCAGCAUGGACUGGCCCAACGACAUCGACGUCGUUUAUUUUAAAACUCAAUAAGCCUAUCCUGCUUGUUCUGGCCUUUGUAGCACCGUUGUAUCGGGAUCCUAUAGCGCGAAAUCACUAAUAAAAAGUUAUCAGUUGCACACGUCAUUCUCACCUUCAUAAACACUCGCAAGUGGCACAUUGCAUGUGUUUCACUUCUACAUAGCAACCUAUGAUUCUUCUCCUUUCUACAUAAAUUUAUUUAUUCAAAAUGUUUUAUCUAUUGAACCAUAAGUUCGAAUCCUGAACUUUUUUCUUCGAUGAAUUUUCCGCGUCGAGAUCUUUUAGACUACAUCCCAUGUUCAUAGCUUUUGACCAGUUUUUACACGAAAAAAGGAAAAAAACUGAAGAAGGGACCCAAAAACCAUAAAAGCAAUAAAAAUAAGAAAAGGUGAAAACCAAAAUAACUCGUAACCAGAAAAGGAAUGAAGAAAAAAAACAGAAGAUGGAAACACAGUUUUCCCCACUUUUUCUUUUCUUUUGAUAAGCACAACUGUGCUCCACGCGGAAGCAAAUUUGUGCCUCCAUGAGAAGAAAAUAUCUGCUUCUUGUGGAGGCACAUUUUUUUUAGAAGCACAACCUUGCUUCUAACGGAAGCAAAUUUAUGGCUCCACAAGAAGAAAAUAUCUUCUUCUUGUGGAAGCACAUAUUUUUUUUAGAAUCACAACCAUGCUUCUUACCGAAGCAAAUUUAUGCUUCCACAAGAAUCAAAUAUGUGCAUCUCAUCAAAGCACAUACAUUUUCUCUUGUUGAGAAGCACAUUUUAUUUCAAGAAGAACAGUUCAUUCAAGCAUAGCUAUGACUCCAUGAGAAACAAAUGUGUGCUUCUCAUGGAAGCACAUAGUUUUUCCCCUAUUGACAAUCACAUAUGUGUUUCUCAUGGAACCAAAUCUGUGACUCGAUGCAGAAAAAACUAGAACCUUUUUUUUGUCUCUAAAACCUACAGAAAACCAGGCGGAACCGAUAACACGACCCUUCGCCCCUCCCCUCCACACCUAUCUAAAACCCUAAAACAUGUACUAUAGAUAAAAAAAAUGGAAAUCCAAAUAGAGCACCCAGAAUGCAACACGUGGCCACUAUUGGACGCACCACUUCACGUGCUGCCAGGACACCAAAGGUCCAUGAAUGUAAAAAGUAUUAAAGAAUUUGAAAAACUAUUACCAUUUAGAAAAAUUAUUCUCACUGUGUUAAAAUAUAAGACAUUUUUUACACAAGAUUUGAAGAAAUGUUUGCAGUUUUUGAAAGAGUUAUAAAAAAUUAUGAUUUUAAACAAUAUUCUGGAAUUUUAAAUGUGUUAGGUAACUUGAAAAUGUUCUAGAAUUUUUAAAAAACAUUCCCACUUUUAUUAAAGAAUUUUUUUACAAAUUAAAACAAUUGUUCAUCAAUUUAAAAACAUCCAGAAUUUGAAAAUUUUGUGAAUAAUUUGAAAGGUUCUAGUAUUUAUAAUGAAUUUAUAUAAAUAUUCCAAAAAAUAAAGUACUCCCAUGAAUUUUUUUUCAUGAACUAAAUAUGGAAAAAUAAUAAAUACAUCAAAUAUUGUUUGAGAUUUAUUUUUUAAGUCCCGGCAGAAAUGUUCUAGAACCUUCCUAAAACCAUAAGACAAUGGCACAAGAGUAAGACGACACAUAUAUGUGCUCUGCUCUCGGGUCCUCGGUUCACUUCCAUGGCAAUUUCUCUUUACGCGCAUGUCUAAGCUACCGAAAAACAUAUUUUAUUCAACUGGUUAAAGCAAAAGUUUCUUGGGCCUUAUUUGGGCUAAAGCACAAGACGUAUUUACACCAUGACUGUACACUAAUAGAGUGUUUUCUACGCUAGCUUCAUCAGUAGCUCAUAGCGGAGCCGUGCCCAGUACUCGAGCAACCCCGGUCGUAUGAAAAAGCACAAGGCUUUACCACUCCAGUUACUUUGUAUACUCAUCACCAAUAUAUUGCAGGGUUCAUCAUGACACACGAUUUUACUCAUGGAGCUAUUUUUCCUUAGGGAUUACAAUACGAAGCAUAAUAGGAUAAUUUAUUGGUAAUAAUGUUAGACCAUAAAGUAGUCUUCAUAUCUUUAUUGGCAAGGACCAACUUGAUCCUCAAAAAAUGACGCAUACAAAUUGGAAAAUAAGACAAAAAAAUUGAUUAGAACAAAAAAUAAAACAAAAAUAAUAUCAGUGAAACCGAUAGAGUAAAAUUGAAACACUUUGAAACCUUCCAAAAGACAGAACACAAUAGCACAAUGGUGGGUAUGUGCACGUAUGCACUCUAGACACGGGGACGCCCCCCCCCCCCCCCCNNNNNNNNNNNNNNNNNNNNNNNNNNNNNNNNNNNNNNNNNNNNNNNNNNNNNNNNNNNNNNNNNNNNNNNNNNNNNNNNNNNNNNNNNNNNNNNNNNNNNNNNNNNNNNNNNNNNNNNNNNNNNUAUCUUUGCUUUAUAUGUAAUAAAGUUGUUUUCGGCAUCCAACGUUUUUUAAUUUUUAAAUUUUUUCCCACCAAGGAGCAUCUUAUUCAGGGUACACCCUUACUCAUUCUUACAUGAAAUGCAAUCCCGAAGAUAGACACAUAAGGCUAGGUUUGCACGAUGUUAUAUUUUCUCACCAAGGAGGAGUGAAUUGCAAAAGCCACAUAAGGCUAGGUUUGCACGGAAUACGUUUCUACAGGUUGUGCGAAAAAACCACUAAUUUGGAUCUACUUUUUUGCGGAAACCACUAGUUGCUCGCUAAUUUUAAUCAUAUUUAUGAUAGAUCGGAACUAAAAGACAGGGUGACGUGCAGGAUAAGGCCGCGGCAGAGGGCUAGGAGCAGCAGCGAGCUCCGCAGCAGGCGAGUUUGAGCUCGUAGGAGUGCGCACCGAGGACGACGGGCCGCGAGUAGAAGCUCCACUAAUAAUCUUUUGGUCAAAGAGGAGUCCUUGACGGCCUAUUUCUUUGCUAUUUCCAACGGUAGGAGGCGUCAUUGCCUCAUUGAUAAUAUUCUGGUCGAAGGAGUGCGUAUGUCGUCCCGUGAUGCCCUCCUCCAGCAUGCUCAUGAUCUUUUCCUUGAGAUUCUCUCUGCUAGGCUUGCUUCGGGAUUCUCUAUCUCUAAUAACCUCUGGGAAAGCUAGUUCCGGGAAACUAAUGAGGACAAUGCCUACCAUGUUUUAGCCUUUCCUCUGAUGAAAUUGAGGUGUUUGUCUCGUCCUCUAAGUCCAAAUCCACUCCUGGGCUUGAUGGGUUCUCUAUUGCUUUCUUUAAAAAGUUUUGGGCGGUGUUCUACCAGUUGGUGUGUGUGAUCAUCCAGGGCUUCUGUUUGAGGACGGUAGACAUUUCAAGGCUGAAUUGUGUUGUCCUCUCUCUCACUCCUAAGGUCAAAGGAGUUGAUCCCUUCUCGCAAUUCCUACCGACCACACUUAUAAAUUUUUUAGCCAAAUUACUUGCCAAGGGCUUUGCAGUCCACCUCUCUCCUAUGGCCCAAAGUUCUUAGCCAUACCCAAUCGGCCUUUGUCAAAGGUAGGUUUAUCCUAGACGGCAUCCUGAGUUUACAUGAGAUUGUCCACGACCUCAGAGUCAAGGAGACAAAAACCUUAAUUCUCAAACUCGACUUUGAGGAAGCUUAAGACUCGGUCAGCUGGGACUUCCUGUGUAAGGUUUUGCUGGCCAAGGGCUUUGAAGGAGCAUAUGUUCAUAGGCUUAUGCAAUGUGUCUCGGGUGGACACACGGUUGUGGCAGUUAACGACAGGGUCAAUAACUUCUUUGCCAAUGGUCGAGGCUUAGGGGAUCCUAUCCCUUCGCUCCUUUUUAACUUUGUAGUCGAUGCACUUUCCUGCAUCCUUUCGAGGGCUGCCUCUGAGGGCCAUAUUUCCCCUGUUGUCUCACAUCUUAUCCCAGAUGGUGUCACACACUUGCAGUACGCGGAUGACACGAUUAUUAUGGUUGAGCUCAGCGAUCUUUGCAUUUCCAACCUAAAAUUCCUUCUCAUGUGUUUCGAGGCUCUCUCGGUUCUGAAAAUCAAUUUUGCCAAAAGCGAAGCUCAGGUCAUCGGGGUGACCAAGGAUGAGGAUAAGGCAGUUUUCGAAUUGCUCAACUGUCAGCGUGGGUCCUUCCUGUUUAAGUACUUUGGUCUCCCUAUUGCUCCUUCCAAAUUAAUCGCUAAAUAUUUUGCUCCCCUCGUGGCCAAGGUUGGCAAUAGGGUUAUGCCAUGGCGAGGCAGAUAUAACACCAACGUUGGCAAGGUGUGCAUUACUAAUACAUGUCUUUCUUCCCUCCAUAUGUACACCAUGGGUUUAUAUCGCCUCACGGAUGGGACUCACGCGGGUUUUGACAAACAUAGGGGUGCCUUCUAAUGGAACUCCGCUGACAACCAUCGUAAAUACCGCUUGGUUAAGUGGCAACAUAUCUUCACCCUAAGUCCUUUGAUGGUUUGUGUAUGCUCAACACCUCCAUCAUCAAUAAAGGCCAUAUUAUCAAAUGGCGGUGGAAGAUUUGGCACUCUCUGGUUUGCCCUGUUGAAAAGUAAAUACUUCCCUAAUAGCAACCCUCUUUGUGUCUCACCGUCGGGAGGAUCCCAGUUUUAGCGUGAUCUAAUUAAGGUGUGUGAUGAUUUCAGAGCCCAGGUGAAAUUUGUGGUGGACAACGGAUUUUCUAUGUGUCUAUGGCUCGACUGGUGGUGUGGCAAGUCCACUUUAGCCAUGGUUUUUCCUACCCUUUUUGCAUAUGCUUCGACCGAGAGAUCUCAAUAUGUGAGCUCGCCCGGGCGGGAUGGGACUUAGGCCUCAAGAGAACCCUCCCUCCUGAAGAGUUGGGUGAGUGGUAGCUCCUGGCUGCGCGUUUCCCUGUUCUCUCGGAGGAGGUUGAUUCUGUAGUUUGGCCCCACACCCCUUGUGGCAGAUUCUAUGUGAAGUCCUUGUAUGAUCGCCUCAUCUCCGACUUUACUACUAAAAAAAAUCAAGGUUGUUUGGUAGGUGACGGUGUCGCCCAAGAUUAAAAUAUUUCUCUGGCAGGACAUUAGAGGUCGCCUUCCUGCGGUUGAUCAAAUUCGAAAGAGGAAUGUCCCCGGAUGUGAUCGGUGUGCUCUUUGUAACUCUAUUGAAAACUUGGACCACAUCUUCUUUGGUUGUGUUCUCGCCAAGCUAGCAUGGUCGUGCAUCUAGGAGUGGAUGGGUAUCCUUGGGCCCGUCUUCGUUUGGUGAGCUCAGACCAGGAGAAGCAGAAGCUACACCUAGUACUAUUGAAGGCAUGCCCAGCCCAUCGAAACCUGACAACGAUGUCGCCCAACUGCCUCGAUGAGACGGCUCAUCCUCACGUGCGUCGACCUGCUGCACCAUGCCUCCCCUGCUCCAGCUGCUCACUGACACGGGCAGCGUCAGUGCUGGCUACGGACUGGAGCAAGUAGCACAUGUGCCGGUGCGCACGAGCAUGAGUAGUAACGGUGUCGUCCGCGCUCACCGGUCAUCCCGGCCUUGCGCCGCCUUUCUCACGGCACAAGCGUCCGCGUUGACGUCGUGGGUCUUAGCGGUGGUAGCGUAGAGAGGGAGUGGCCGCCGACGUCCACCACCUGACUUUAGGUAUUUUUUUGCAAAUUAAAAUUGUAUUGGCAUCUAAUUGGCAUUUUUAUACCACGUCACCUUGUACAGUGCCCAAAGCCACGAAAUGUCGACCAAAGUAGCACUAGUUGCAGCACAAGUUGGACAGGACAGAACAAGUUGCAGCACAAAGAGGAGACUAUGAAAGUGAAGCCAGAAUUACCAGCUGCCAACAAAUGCAAAAGCGAUACAUGUAGCCCUCAAUCCCGCCGACUGACCAAAUAGAUGGUUGUUAGAGUUAAGCACGAUCUAGCUUGCACGACACGUAUCUAGAGCAAAAGGCAAUGGCUCGGGCCUAUUGCAAAUCUGACGACUCACACUUUUGAGCUGGCCUAUUAGCGACAAAGAAAAACCUCUUUCACUUUGGGCCUUUCGCGAUAAAGGACGGGUCGGAAAUUCGUUUCUGCGAAGACAUAUGGCUAGGCAAUGCCAGUCUCCGAGAACAAUACCUAGCCUUAUACGCCAUUGCUCGCGAUAAAAAUAAUAAUAUUGCGCAUGUGCUCAGUUCAUCCCCGCCGAUUAUCUCGUUCAGGCGGGUUUUGGUUGGCUCCCAACUUUUUCCAUGGCAUAAUCUUUUAACCCGUCUGAUUAAUCUGACACAAAGCCGGGAUGUUUUUCGCUAGAACCUUACUACAUCGGGUUUUUUCACAGUAGACUCUAUAUAUCGUGCGUUAACACAUUCUGAGGUAUCAACAAAUAAUAACAAGGAAAUUUGUAAGUCGAAGAUUCCACUAAAAGUUAAAUUUCGUUCAUAUCUCAUACCCAGUGGCGGAGCAACAGGGUGGGCUGCGCUCCACCAUGUAAUUUUGGUUUGACAUGUAUAGCCAUGCGAUGGAAGAAGACCGCACGAAGAGCGCACACGCGAUUCAGAUCCACGCCCAGCUGAGCGCCUGCUUCGUUGUCGCGGCAUUGCCUCGCCUGCCAUCGGGAAGCCGGAGCAACCGUCCUGACACCCGCGGUCCGGGUGCCCUGCCUAUUCGCUACUAUGCUCACCACCUACUUUCUCCGCCCGCCGACCUGUGCAGCAGCGUGCCCAGCAGCAGCCCUCUGCCGAGUCAACUGCAGUGCUUCCAGAAGAGCUUAUCAUCUCACACAGAGAGAGAUAUUGUCCUGUCCCGGUGAGGCCAUGACUGUGCCGAUCCACUGAACGCCUACCCGAGGAUUGCCAUGGCACCGGCGCAACACACGACCUCGCCAUCCGGCAUUCAUCUAGUCUUCCUCUGUAGGCACUGCGACGCUUGUGUAAAGGAGCCAUGGCCACACGCAGCAUAUACAUCAACAGACACGGGUAUAUCAUGAUGGGGCUUCGCAAUAGAUUUACUCCAUGCAUCCACACCCACAUCCACCCAUCCAACCAAAGGAAGGUUCGGAGGCAAUCGAUUUGCCGGAGGGGAGCAUGCUUUGUGGGGUUUUCCAGAAGGAACGAUUGUUUUUUAGGUUGGCGGGAGCACUGUAGGUGGCGAAUCCAUGUGACAUGAGGCGUUCGAUCCAAUAGCUUGGAAGGCUAUAAACGAAUUAAUUCAUUCUUCAGGCGGCGGGUAAAACAACUGAGAUGAGGGUAGAUUCAAUUUUCAAAAAAAUGUGUACUAUAAUAGUAGAGAUAAGAACGGAUGGAGUAGUUACGAGCACAACACUACAUAAGAUUACAUAACAUGGCGGAGUGUUCAAAUACGAAAUUCAGUAUUGGCAUUCAAGUGGCUCAUGCAAUUCUUAAUUUAGAUUUGAGAUUUGGUGCUGCUGCUACAACUCUCUGCAGCUUUUCUGGUGUCUUUUCAUUGCAUUUAUAGGAGUAUGACCCGGGGACCGGGGUACUAAUCCGACAUAGAGUCUUAGAGACUUAGACACAAACCAAAACCAAAACCAAACAUGCUAAUGUGUACUGCUACUCGGACGAACCUAUGAUACAUGACAUGCAUGCUUAUUGUUACAUUACAUGAUACACAUCACACAUAUGUCUUGUUUUGGACCAAGAAGAACAAGCAUAAAUAUACAUGCAUGCUGCAUAUACAAUAUCAAAUGGAAAACUCUUUAUGUUACGCCAAUAGCUUCAUCAAGCAACCGAAAGAAGCAUCCGCACAACAUUUUCCAUGGUGGGCCUUUGUCUACCAUCUUCUUCUACACAUGAAACAGCCAACUUGAACAUCGCCCUUGCUUGCAAGCUGUCGAACUGGCCGUUCAACCUUAAGUCAAUGAAGUCGGCUAUCCAUAACUGUUGGCCACCCUCCAGCAUUAGAUUUUCUGCAAGCAUCCUGAUGACCCUUCCAAAGACCAUUUCCACUUCCUCGUCCGCAUUUGAUGCCCAGUCUGAAACACGAGCCCCCUUCAGCAGUUCCAGAAGAACCACGCCGAAGCUGUAGACAUCAACCUUCGCCGUUAUUGGCUGGCUAGAAACCCACUCAGGAGCUAUGUAACCUCUAGUUCCAUGGAUUCUCGAUACAUUUUUGUUGGAUCCGCUCCUAUUUACAAGUUUUGCCAGGCCAAAGUCGCUGAUCUUCGGCUGUAAGUUGUCGUCCAACAGUAUAUUUUCAGGCUUCAAGUCACAAUGGAUAACCCACUCCAAGCAUUCGUGAUGAAGAUAGGCCAAUCCUUUUGCCACCCCUAAAGCAAUCUUAAACCUUUCACUCCAUUCAAGUAACCUUGUGCUACUAAACAAAGUUUUAUCCAAAGAACCAUUCUCAACAUACUCCAAAACCAAUAUCCUGUGUGGGCCAUCCGAACAAAAACCCCAUACCCUCACCAGAUUCAUGUGGUAAAUCUUUCCAAUCACACUGAGUUCAUGUUGGAAUUCUUCUCCGCCUUGGUUUAUGUCUGCCAACCUUUUCACCGCUACUGCCCUCUUGUCUUUCAAGACCCCCUUGUAUACAUGACCAGAUGCGCCACACCCAAUUUGAUCCUUGAACUUUUGAGUCGCUCUUUGCAACUCCUUGUAAGUGUAUCUGCGGAAAUGGUUGGUUAUCAUUUCAUAGCCAACCUCAGCUGGCCAUACUCCUGUUAACUGCUUGCUCUCCCUUCUCAACAUAAACCAGCACCCUAGUGCCACAAAUAUUACCUCCACACAAAAUAUCGCUAACAAGAAUCCAUACAAUAAGUACAAGUACUGUGAUUUUAAUCCACUUUGAGUAUUCUUCGGUUGAUCCAGAAAAUCUACAGUGAAAUAUUCGCUCUUUGCACUACAGUUAGGAACAUACCUAGAACCAAAAGGUUGCGAGUGAGGAAUUGAGGAAUCCGAGACCUGGAAUGUCUUAGGAUACUUGAGAUACAUAGAACGCCGAAUAUACGGAAUGGUUACACCGCCGACAAGGGACCACUUUGGAUAGCAAUCUCCAGUUGCUUGCAGGUAUGAGAAACCUUUGCAGUUGCAGUCGUUCAAGCAUAUCUUCUUGCAAGUAUCAAGUGAAACUAAGUUAUGGCUACUUUGAUCAUUACCUCGGAAAUCAGUGCUAGGAAGCUUCACAAACAUCUCCUGGCCGUCACAGCUGAGAUUGAAUUUUGGCCUGCAACCUUUGCUCCGGUCAGUUGGGUCGACGAUCUCGUGUCCAGGGGAACAUGCACAAGCUGGACCAGGUGUAUACACACAUAUUCCAUUCAUGCCACACAGACCACGUACAGAGCAGGUCUGAGGAUAUGCCAUCCAUGUGACCGACCAACUUCCAUCUGUCUUGUUUAGACUGUAUAAUCUAAGGUUGCCAUCAUAAUUCAAUGUUAGCCUUCUCAUAACCUUGGAACCCCAAUCAGCAGCCUUAAUAGUUAAAUUGUCACUUCCAAGAAAAUACCCCCAGCUAUCAAGGACCCCAAUUGUGGUGCUAUUGAAUGAGUUUCUUCGCUUUUCCCACACACUCAUUCUUGGAUCCGGCCAAUAGAUAAAAGAUAUAUCCUUCUCAUCAUAAAAUAGUGUGAGUAAAUGUUGAUCAUCAAAAUGGAAGCUGUAACGCCCAGCAAGAAGUAACCUAUGAGUAGAUACCAACUUUGUAGCACUAGUAAUAUUCUGAUAUGGAAGCAGUGUAUCAGUAGGAGAAUCAAAGCUUUGCCAUAGAAUGAUAUCACCUUGGCCCUUUACAAUGAGAUUCCCAGUGUCCAGCAGCUGAGCUUGUUCGGCUUUUGAGGAAGAGUUGACAUUGUUUUCCCACACGAGUUGGCCAUUAUAAUCUUUUACAAUCAUUCUUCCAUCUGUGCCUAGCAUGACUUGGGAGCCCCAGGAGUACACGGGGUGGAAAUGAUUUGCACUCCAGACGACAGUCUUCUCGGCUGUGUUGGAGAACCAAAUAGAGAAGACGGAAGCAUUUUUGGAAAUGUUGUUGAAGCCACAGAUGAAAGUACCAUCUGGUGAAUGGAGAACGUCAGAGCUAUCCUCCACAGAGAGAUAAGAGCCUGGCGAGAGGAAUUCACGAGCGGAGAUGUGCAAAAAUAAAUGAAUGAAAUUUAGUAGAAGCAGAGGAAUAGAGUGUGCAUCCAUGUUUGAUGAGACACUCGAGAUGACCAUUAGAAUGAUCACAAAUGGACGUAUUAUAUAGGAGACAACUGUCGGUAUACACUGGAGAGGAAGCAAUAUGCUUCUACUUAUAUAAUGCCAAACUGAUAGGCGCGUGUCCUUUUCUUGAGAGUGAUAACAUGUUCUUGUUCGUCAAAGAUUUAAUCAGUAGUUUUUUUUUUUUUGAAAAGGAGGAAACGACCCAGUCUUUGUCAUCAAGUUUGAGAGUUGCAGAAUUGUCUUCUAUUUCAGCUGGUUGAUGUAUAAUCCGGAAAUAAGGCCCUUUCCUUGAAUGGUAACUUGUUCUAUUCAGUCAACAAUUCAACUACUCCCUCUGUCCCAAAAUAAGUGUCUCAACUCUAAAGCAAGGCCGUCUCCAGAAAAUUGAGGGUCCGGGACAAAAAUAAAAUAAGGUCCUAUUUUUUAUUAAACAUCAAACUGAAGAACUAAUGUAAGCAGAGCAUACUCUUACUUAAUUAUUUAACUUUAAAUAUGUCUUAUUUGAUACAAUAUUUAAAAAGUCUAUAAAAUACAGUAAAAUAGUAAAUAUGAUACUAACGCAAUAAACUUAUAAACUGACCUCAUUUUCUACCAAAGAGUAGCAUUCUUCAAGUAUUUCUUGAAAUGAAAUCUUCGAUCAUAUCUUUAUAAUUAAUCUUCUCCAAGACGUGACCUUCAGUGGCAAUAUUAGCAGUGUCUCCUUCAUCAACAUGAUUAGGAUCAUCAUCUUCGUCGACAUUCUUAGUAUCAUCACCUUCAUCGGUUUGUGCAAUGUGAGCCUCAACCUCCACUGGAUCACCACCAUGCGCAUCAGCAAUAUUAGCAUCUGGAGUUUGGUUUUCAAAACUGGGCUGAGGUUCUUUCACAACAAAUUUAUCAAGAGAACCCUUUUGUACUCGAGCAUCUUCUUCUACUUUUUGUUUCUUCCUUCGCUUUGAAGCACCGGAAUCAUACUUCCUGCCUCGAUGCAUGAUUCUUUCUGUUUAAUAAGAUAAAAUAUAAUCUGGAUCAAUUCAAACCAUAAUUAUAAACCUCUGUAGCUAAAAAUAGAAAAGACUUCACCUAGACCUAAAUGUAAGAUUAAGACCAUACCAUGUUCCUGAAUCACGAUAGGCCAAACAUUAGGAUUCAGAGUUUCAGACAGAUGCACAACAAAUCGUUUAUUGCACACCGUCAGAAUCCUGAAUCGUUUAUUGCACACCGUCAGAUGUACAGAGACUUACGCUUGCAAGGGGAAGAUGAUGCGCUGCAGCACUGGUCGCCGGCCACCGGCCGCAUAGGUGCGUACGUCUGGCCUGGCGUCUUCCCUCUGCCGCUGUCGACUCGACCCGUCGCUGCCGUCUGCUGUCGCCUUGCUCGAUACCUGCCGGCUGCCGCCGUCGCCACUCGCCAGGCACGCAACCGCCGUUCAGACCGCUAAUCGUGAUUACUGAUUACGACGACAAAGGCAGGGAUGUAUAAGGGCUACGUGCGUACGUGGGCUACUUGGCAUUGCUUUUUCAAUGGGCUUUUUUUUCAUACAUAUGUAGACUUAUUUUUUACUAGACUCGGGGCCCCACAAUUUUGGGGCCCUGUGCGGUCGGCCAAUUUGGCCAUCCUCAUCGACGGGGCUGCUCUAAAGCUUAGUAUAAUUUUAUACUAGAGCUAGUAGAAAGUUAAGACACUUAUUUUGGGACUGAGGGAAUAUUAUUGAAGGCUGUCUUGCAAGGUCCACCCUUAUUGAAGGCUUUUAGCUGGCUGGUUUCAGGCAGCUGCUGAGGGAAAUGAAAUAUGUACUAUUUCAACAGAUUGGUGGCACUGAUAUACGUGAGUAAUUGGUUUGCUACUUCUGACACAGGUUGUCGGCAAAAUCCCAGUUACUAUCAGAAAGAAAUGGUAGACUUGGCAAUAUUUGAAUUUUAUUCCUGCAGAUAGAUAUAGUGUUCACCGUGUUUCACGAGAAACAGACAUGACAAUGACAGUAUAUGAAAAUUCAAACCUGUCCAUUCAGACAGGAAAAUAAUAGGUUAUGGCUUUAUGCGUUGCACUUGAUUUCCAAAGUGAAGACAUAUCCGUUUCGCUUUCGGAGCAAUAAUUAUCAUCAGACUGAAGGGUGGAGCCUUCUCAAAUUUAUCUCCAGUCGUCGUGCAGCAUGACCACGAGCUAGUGGUCUGAAUUCAGAAAAUACGACCAGAUGCUUUUCACAUACAAUCCUACUCCUCUGGCCCGUGAUAGAGGAUGAGUUUCAGUGUAAAUCCUCUAAAGCAAGCAUGUUGGUCAGUGCUUGAUUUCCUGGCGUCCUUGGAUAACUAAUUUCUUUGGAAAAAAGAAAUCUCCUCUAUGAUUACUAAUUGUCUCACGGAUCUAUCCAGUAGUUGUCUGAGACAUAUCAGGUCACACAUCAACAUCUAUCAUUCGGCAAGAUACACAAAUGGAGACUUGAGACCGCUUCAUGAACCACACCGGUUAUCACUUCGAUGAUAACUUUGAUUCACGGUGGUCACUUAUGUUUAACAUGGUUAUUGAGAGUCUCGAUUUGAGGAAGAUUGACCUCACUGGUAGACAAUUCACAUGGGCGAACUCACUACCGGUGCCAACAUAUGAGAAGUUGGACCGGGUACUGACCAGUGUUGAGUGGGAACAGAAGUACCCGCUGGUUACAGUGCAGGCUUUACAAAGAGCCAUCUCAAAUCACACACCUCUCGUAGUUGACUCAGGGGAUGCCUACCAUGCGGGUAAUAGAAAUGUCUUCUCCUUUGAAUUAAGCUGGUUCGAACGAGAAGGUUUCAUGGAUCUCAUAGCUAAUGAAUGGGCUAGGGAUUCCGGUGGAUCAACGAGUAUAGAAAGAUGGCAAAACUAAAUCCGACAUUUACGCCAGUUCUUGAGAGGAUGGACGAAAAAUCAGAGCGGUAUAUAUAAACUGAAAAAAGAAAGACUCAUUCGUCUUAUUGAUGAAUUAUACUUCAAAGCUGAAUCUGCCCAUCUCAAUUUAACAGAUAGGAAUAACAAGAUUGAAACUGAGAAUAAGUUGCAAAAACUUUUCAAAGAAGAGGAGAUGAAAUGGGAACUUCGAGCCAAGGUGACAAAGGUGGUUCAUGGGGACGAUAACACUCAAUUCUUUCACAUGAUUGCAAAUGGCAAACAUUGAAAGAAAAAAAAAACCCAACUUGAACAAGAUGAAGGAACAAUACUAGGUCACGAGAAGUUAAAACUAUAAAUCUCUGAAUAUUACAAGAAAUUAUUUGGUACACCAGAAGAGAUGGUGGUCUCUCUGGAUGAAAGCAUAACUCAUGAUAUACCUCAACUCAAUGCAGAUGAGAAUAGAGGUGUUAUCAACUCCAUUUACAGAGAAUGAGGUGUAUGACUCAAUAACACAAAUGAAACUAAAUAAAGCACCGGGGCCGGACGGGUUUCCGGCAGAAUUUUAUAAGAAAUGCUGGCAUAUAAUUAAGGGAGACCUCAUGCCUAUGUUCCAUGAUUUAUUUAAUGGUCAGUUGCAACUAUUCCACCUUAACUUUGGAACAAAUACGUUGUUGCCAAAAAAGGCGGAGGCUAUACGCAUUGAGCAGAUUAGACCGAUAUGUCUGCUCAAUGUCAGCUUCAAUUUUUUUACAAAGGUUGACACUAAUAGAUUGACAAAGAUAGAUCAUUCAGUAGUCCAACUGACGCAUACUGCGUUUAUGCCUGGGAGACACAUGUUAGAGGGUGUUGUUGUCCUGCAUGAAACGCUGCACGAAAUUCAUACAAAAAAACUAGAUGGGGUUAUCUUUAAAGUGGAUUUCGAGAAAGCAUAUGAUAAAGUCAAAUGGCCAUUUCUUCAACAGGUCUUACUAUGAAAGGAUUCAAUGAAAGAUGGAGAGAUCAGGUUGAUACUUUCAUUCAGAAAGGCAGUGUAGGUGUUAAAGUUAAUGAUAACACAGGGCAUUUUUUUCAAACACGCAAGGGACUAAGGUAAGGUGAUUCAAUGUCCGCCGUGUUGUUCAACAUAGUAGCAAACAUGUUGACAAUACUCAUUCCGAGAGCCAAAGAAAAGGGCCAAGUAGGAGGUCUCAUUCCACAUCCUGUAGGGGGGGUGUCCAUACUACAAUAUGUGGAUGAUACGAUUAUUUUCAUGGAACAUGAUUUGGCCAAAGCGAUAAAUAUGAAACUAUUAUUGUGCUUAUUUGAACAGCUCUCGGGGCUGAAAAUUAAUUUCAACAAAAGCGAACUUCUCUGCUUUGGGAAGGCAAAAGAGGAGCAAGACGCUUACAUGCAACUAUUUGGAUGUGAAAUGGGAUCACUACCAUUUAGCUAUCUCGGGAUUCCUAUUCAUCAUAGGCGACUGACGAAUAAGAAAUGAAAAUGUAUUGAAGAUAGAUUUGAAAAAAAAACUAAGUUGCUCGAAGGGCAAGCUUAUGUCAUACGGAGGGAGGCUAGUGUUAAUAAAUUCCGUGUUAACAAGCCUACCCAUGUUUCUCUUGUCUUUUUUUAAAAUACCGGUAGGGGUAUGAAAAAGACUAGAUUUCUAUAGAUAUCGUUUCUUCUCGCAAAGUGAUGAGGCUAAAAAGAAAUACAGAUUGGCACAUUGGGAUAUUAUAUGCAGAUCGAAAGACCAGGAGGGUAUGGGCAUUGAAAACUUAGAAGUGAAGAACAGAUGCCUGCUUAGCAAAUGGCUUUAUAGGUUAUCCACAGAGACCGAGGGAAUGUGGUUUUAAUUACUGAAGAAUAAAUGCCUACAUUCAAAAAAUUUAGUCCAGGUUACAACUAGACCAAAUGAAUCACCUUUCUGAAAAGGGUUAAUGAAGAUAAAAGUGACCUUUUUACAGAGGGUGAAGUUUGUAGUUGGUGAUGGUGGCUCAAUAAGAUUUUGGGAGGAUACUUGGCUUGGAGACACCCCUUUAUCACUUCAAUACCCCAUGCUUUAUAAUAUUGCUCAACCUAAAGAGGACUAUGUGUCCACGGUACUACAAUCGGUACCUCUUAACAUGCAGUUCAGGGGAGCUUUAGUGGGAGCAUGCUGGAAUGCAUGGUUGCAUCUGGUCAGAAGACUUAUGCAGGUACAAUUAUCUGACCAGACAGAUAGUGUUCAUUGGAUAUUGACUACCAAUGGGGUAUUCUCAGUAAAGUCCAUGUAUGCGGAUCUGAUAAACACCGGACCUCUAUCCAGAUCAUUACAUAUUUAAAAUAUCCAAGUGCCGCUCAUGAUUAAAAAUGUUAUGUGGUUUAUACAUAAAGGUGUGGUAUUAACCAAAGAUAACUUAAUAAAACGAAGACGGAGAGGGAGGUCGAAUUGUUGCUAUUGUGAGCAGAUUGAAACAAUAAGACACGUCUUUAUAGAUUGCCCUCUUGCAAAACUACUAUGGCGCACCGUUCAUAUAGCUUUUAAUGUUACCCCACCUACAUGUAUUAGCUCGCUAUUUACAACGUAGCUCAGUGGAGUGGACGUUAAAAUAUCGAAACUUAUCAGAAUUGGGAUCUGCGCUUUAUUUUGUGCUAUAUGGAAUACCAAGAAUGACAUGAUUUUUAAUGGCAAGAACUUCAACAACUUUUUGCAGGUUAUCUUCCGAGCGACGUCUUGGAUCCGUACGUGGUCGUGACUCUUAUGGAUAUUGGAUGCAACCGAUGAGAGAUGGUCCACGGGUUAUCUUCAACCGAUUUGGAUGGCGUGCUAAUAAUAAGCUAGGUGUAUAGGCAUCAUAGUCUGCUUUUAGCUACGCCGGAUGUGGCAAUUUUUUUAUAUCAUAUUUUUUUUAAUUUUCAUUUCAAGCUUCAGAGCUUUGUGGACCUAAGACAUUAUUUUAAACUCUGUUAAAUAAUAUGGCUGCAUGCAUCGGUUGAUGCAAAGGCCGGGGACUCGUUUCCUCCUUCUAAAAAAAAAGAACCACACCGGUCGACCUCUAAUGGGUAACGGUAUGUUUGCAGAUUCCGCCCAGGGUCGUUAAAUCUUCAACGUUUCUUUCGCAAGGAGAGUCCAACUACCGAAAGGAAAUUCAUUGUGACACUACUAGAAUCAUUCUUUGUCCCGAGUUCUAAUUCUUGGUCGAGUGCAUUUUAUGGCGCACUCGGCAAACUUUUUGUCUGCCGAGUAUUUUUUAAAACUGGACUCGGAAGUAGUAAGCAACUCAGCAGAGUAGUGACUUUGCCAGGUUCUAUAAAAAACGACUCGACGAACAAAAAAACUCGACGGACUAUGAGGUUCACCGAGUUCCCGCCUCGUCUAGAAACGGUAAGCUACGGUCAUCAUUGCACCCUUUGUGGAAGAUAUUACUGUCACUAUGAAUCUUCUCUGCUUAACAUAAGUAAAUAUUCUUUGCUUAUGAUGGGCAGAUAAGUUUCAUAAUGACAGAUUGUUUCCCUUACAAAAGUGAGCAUUGCUGACUGCUCGGCUUUUUUUUAGUCAUUUCAUUAAGCUUCGAGGGUUCAUAUCUUUGCUGAGUUCCUGAUAGAAAGAACUCGGCAAAUGUAGCUGGUGGUUUAGUCCCACCUGCCUACUUGAGGAGCGACCGGACCAGGUUAAAUUGCUGUUUUAUUCAGAUGCAGUAAGCUAAGGUCAUCAUUACAUUUUGUAGUGGGUAUGUCUGUCACUAUGAAUCUUCUCUGGUUAUCUCUCUGCAUAUAAUAAUCAGAUAAGUUCCUUAGUUACAGAUUGUAUCCAUCAUGAUCAAUUCCAACAAUCUGUCCAGAACAGGGAAGAGCGACCACCAUAACGAGAUGAUGCCUCCGAAUAUUGAGCUGAACUGCAUCCCGUCACGCCACCAUAACGAGCCGCAUGGAUAUGAGGCAUGCGGGAUGGAGUCUCUAUAAUAUAUAUCCCAGACUAAAUGCACCCAAGGAACAUCAUGACGGUUUUAGAAUUUAUGUAGAAAUUUUAGCAGCAUCGCAUCAUUCAGGAUAUGUAAAUUUAUCACCAAGUCCACCAUGUGUUUUGGGGCGGCAAAUCAUAUCCUAGGCAGCGAGAGAGUUACAUUUUUCUUCACUUUCAAUUUCUUUCGCCAUAGACAACGCAUCCUGAUCUUGUCAAUGUGAGCAACAAUAUUGGGGUGAAGUUGUAUCGUGCCCAUGGUGAACAUGGAUAAUAAAUAUUCUUGAUGUAUGCAAGAAAAUGUAGACACCAAAAUAUAUAAUUUCUUAAAAUGUUAAUUUUGUAUUUUUCAAUUGAUAAUUGAAAAUAAUGUUUGACAUGUAUACGAAAAAUGUACACGAUGCAUGAAAAAAGUAGACAGUACACCAUAUAUAAUAAUAAAUGGCCAUAAAGAUAUAAAUUUUAAGAUAUAUUAAUCAUGUAUGGAGAAAAUGUUAACUAUGUAUAGAAAAAUGUUCUUAAUGUAUAACAAAAUGUUGAACGAUGUACUGGAAAAAAUGUCUUGAAAAAAGAAGCUGAUGAAAAUCGGAAAAAAUCACAGGAAAUGAAGAAAACCAUUUAGAACCAAUAAAGAAAAGAAAAAAUAAAAUAAAAUCAAAGAAAACCAGUAAAAAGGAAUGAACCUGAGAAGAAAACAAAGGAAAAACAGUGAAAACCAAGUAAAAACCAAACAAAAAGAAAACAUGAAAUCAGUAAAAAUUAUGAAGGAAACAAAGAAAUCUGGUAAAAUCAAAGAAAAAUAGACAAUUAAAAAAGAGCUGUGAAAAAACAAAAGAAAACCGAAAGAAGUAAAAAAACCAGAAAAAGAUCUUAUUCAGCAGCUAAGGGGCGUCUGAUUGCAAAUCAGUGGUGAUGGGCAUAGGUAAUGGCACUACGGGAUCAAUUGCAUCAAUUGUCCAUAACAUAGUAGAUAAUUCUAAGGGUUUUCUUACUUGUAAUUUGUGUUUGAAAGUAGGCUGUUCAAUAUGGAAGCACAUAGGCUAGCUAGACAUGUUUUACAUCUAGAGGAGGGGCGCCAUGUGUUGCCGAUGAACCCCCAUGAUCCCUCUGUAAUUCCUGUUCUUCGAACUCUUGAGCAAGAAACCGAAGUAUGUUAACCCUAAAAAAGAUGAUAGAUCAUGGAUGCGAUCAUUCGUUCUGCUCCCGCCUCACGAUCAGAUCGAUCGAUCUAUCUCACAGCCAUAGCGCUAGGAAUCUACCAUCGCUCACAAGUCAUUGUCCUUCGACUUGAUUGUCGACUUGUGAAGCAGUGGAGCAGCGAAUACAGCGGCUGCCCCUAAUCGUCCUUAGCUGCUUGCAUACGUCCAGCCACUGCCAGAUCAUUAGGCAAGGUGCAUACAAUGUGUUACUAUACAUAAAAGUACUGCAAGUAUGAUAUAACCCCUUUUUGCCUUAGUUUGACUAUACUUUGUUAGUUGCAAACGACGACAUUUUUUUCACGCCCAUUGCCUCAAUCUCAAAUCUGUACUAGUGCCGAAAAUUUGGAUCAAGACAUUGGUGAAGGGUGCCGGUAGAGCUAUAUACAUUUUUAUCAAAAAAGGGCAAACAUACAUUUUCCUUAUCAAUUUGAAGUUGUUUCUUUGAAAUAUGAAUUUCAGUAUUUGAGAUGAUUUUUAUUGACAUAUUUCCAAGCAUAUGUUGAUACACUAUUUCGGUUGAUAUGUCGUACUAUAGUUAUGAUCGACAUCACUCGACCACCCUAUGCCCUAAUCAUGGCUCCGCCCCUGCGUUCCAUUAAAAGGAUUUGUAUGAAAUUUCAUGCUAAUAUCAUUGGGUAUACAAAAAAAAGUUUGUGACAUUAAAAAAUGGUAUAUGAACUGUUGAAAGUGUUUACUUCUAUUAAACAAUGUAUGUGGCAUUUGAAAGUAAUAUUUUCGAGUUUUAAAAAGUGUGUAAAAUUUUCAAAAAUGUUAUACAAUGUAAAAAUGUAUUUUUUGUUUAAAAAAUGUACACAAUGUAUUUCUAAUAUGUUACUGUGUAUUCAAAAAGUGUUCCAAACUUGUACUUUCAGAAAAUGUACAUCAUCUAUUUGAAAAUUUUCCAACGUUGUAGAAAAAACAUUUCACGUCUUCUCUGAAAAUGUACAUUCUGUGCCAAGAAAAAUAAUACAUGCAUUAAAAAAACAAAACCAAGAAAGAAACAAAAUUAAAAUGAAAAAACCGAAUAAAACCAAAAAAGAAACAAAGAAAAUCAAAGUAUACCAAAGAAAAACCAAAAACGGCCAAUGAGAAAACAAGAAAACCAAAAUAAAUGAAGCAAAAAAUAAAAACCAUUUAAAACCAGUGAAAGGAAAACUUAGUGGAAAAUACUUGAAAGAAAACAACAAAAAGAAUGAAGAAAACCAGAGCAAGUGAAAGUAGAAUGCGGCAGCGCGCAACCAAAAUAAACUAAGUGGGCUAACCAACUAGUCAUCGUCAUAGGUGAUUCCUAUUAGGAAUCAAUAGGGCGACAGGGAGUUCCUAUAUGGCACCUUUUGCGCCCGUUAGCCCAACCCGGUGCCUGCAUAUAGAAUGUGUUGGUCCUUUACAAAUCGAAAACAAUUGAUGAUAUUUCAAAAAAAAAAUAGAUUUGCGAAAAAAUUCAAAGAUUACAAAAAAAGUUCACUGAUUUUUGAAAUAUGUUUAUGUAUUUUUAAAAAGUUCCCAGAAUUUGCAAAACAAUAAUUGUUUUUCAAACAAAAUUCAUCGUUUUUCAAAAAGAAAUUAUCAAUUUUUAAAAACAGUUCAGCUACUUUGAAAACAAAUCAUGAAUUUAAAAUUAUGUUCACCGUUUCAAACAUGUUCAGCGAUUUUGAAAAAAUGUCAUUGAUUUUACAAAAAGUUCACCAAUUUUCAAAAAAGUUCAUCGAUUUGAAAAAAAGUUCACGGGUUAAAACACAGAUCAUAUCUCUAAAUGGACCGGCCCAUGACGGAGUGCUGCAGGCGCCGGUUAACAUAGUUUGCAUGUAACCGGUGCCUGUGACGUUAAAUAGGGUUUGCCUGGGCGACACAUAGAUGUUGUGCACUCGAGUUCCUCACUGCAAUCCGGUAAAUGGGCCAGGCCCAUCGCACCCGAAACAUCUACAUAUCACGGAGUGACUCGCGAAAUUACGAUUUUUUCCUUUAUUUCAUUUUUUUCAUAUUUGUUCUAUGACGUUUAUAUAUGGACAGCCCUAGCCGUCGGUCGACUGACCCAGCCCGCAAAUUACGAUUAAGGGAUUUGGAGCCGCACGAUGUCCUUCCUUCCCCUCAUGUGCCUUCUUCUCUGAUAAACAACCCCAUCGCGCCGCCAUGGGCUAGCGAUACGCCCGACCUCGAAGCACCGCCCUGGCACACCUCAUCUAUUGCCGCCCUUGCAUCCAUCAUCUCCUAUGUUUCUCGUCAGCUCCGCGGAUGCAGCAACAAUCCCCCUUGGUUGCAUCUCCCCAUGGAGAAGGUUACGCUUGCUGUAUCAAGCACCUUCGAUGAUGAAUUCGCAAAAAAUGUACUCUCCCUCGAUUUGCUGGUAGCAGCAAAAUGGAAGGCAGGUUGUAGCAAAAAGGCGUGCUAGGUCAAGCAAAAAAUAGGUCGCUGGUGCCUUUACUCCGUCGCCAUGAUAGCAUCAAUUGUAGGAGUGCGGCAUUUCGGUGCCCAGGCUCAUCUGCACCCGUUUAGUAAAAAAAAUAAAGAAAAAUACUAAAAAUUGCAAACAACUCCAAAAAAAUUUGGGUAAUAGAUGAUAUGGCUCGUGAGGUCCGCUCCAAUGUUUUUUAUCAUUUGAACAUCUAAGAAGUUCUCAGCAAAAAGGACAAAUCGGGUCAAAAUGGUGCAUCUGCGAUACACUUUUUAGAGACCCCAAAUUUGUCUUCUUUGUCGAGAGCUGCUCUGACGUUCAAAUUGUACAAAAUUUGAAACGAACCUCACGCAUCAAAUUAUCUAUCACCCAAAAAAAUGGAAUUUUUUGAAUUUUUUAGUAUUUUGUUUUGAUUUUUUUACUCAGCUGGGAUGCAGAUCAGCCUGGGCUCAGAAAUGGAUUUUCGCAAUUGUAGCUUUUGUGGUUGUCGGUUGCAGUAAAAAAUGACCCGGUUGUAGCAAAAAUAAUUUACACCGGGAACUAUUGUGUAUGGUGGUAACAAAACAUGUCGCCGAUGGUAUCAAAAGUUAUGUGGUUUGCAGCAAAAAGAAUGGUGUCCCCCUCCGUCGGGGUCGCACCAUCUGCAUGAGUGAUGUGGCAAGCAAAAUUCAUCGCUGAUAGUAGCAAAUGAAGUCGAUGGUAGUAUCAAAAUGAAACGCACAUUUCAAAAAUCAAAUUUCAGCAACAAACUCCAGUAACAAACAGUUUGUUGGUUGUAGCAUCCCUCGUCAGCGGAUGUAACAUCUCUAGCAUCGAGUUGUAACAAGUCGCUCCCCGGGUUGCAUCCAUGACGACGGUUGCAUAGUCGUGUUUGUCGACCUCACAUCGGUGUGUGAGCGGUAGUAGCAGGGAAAGCGGAACCUCGGCCAUGAGGUGACUGACGUGCAACAUCGGCGUCCCUUGUAGCAUACCUCCCCGCCCCCAUGCCGCACUGGCAGCUCGCAAUGGUUUUGCUGUGGGAAAAAAGGACAUGAAGAAGCAGUGAAGUAGAGUGCAUACGAACUGAGGAACAUAAUUAGAAUAGGGAAACACUUCCCAUCAUGCGUCUGAAGCAAGAAACUCUUCAGACCAGUCGUGUGUCGUUGGUUUGUGUUUCAUCCACCCAUGUGUUUUGUCAGAGAAAUCCUGUUUAAACCUUCCAAAUUAGACGCACGCACAUCCCCAUAAUCACUCGCCCGUUUCUGUCUCGCCUCAUUAAUCGCCAUGUACCUCACCUCUGAACUGAUCACAGCUAUCCGACAGUGCGUGCAGCCCCAGUUCCACCUCACCGAUGCGCCAUGGCAUGACCACCACUAGCACUAGCGAGUUUAUUGCCUCAUACGAUGGCCGGAGUACUAAUAGUGGUGAGUAUUUUUUUUCUUCAUGAUGGGUCAAUGGAAGCAGAAGAGUGAGCGCACAUCUGGGAUCUGGAAGCAUGAACAUCUGAAAGGUGAUGAAUAGGACUUGCCAUGCGGCCGUGUUUCUUGUGCACCCAGGGUAGCAACUUCCUCCCCCGCCAAUGAUGUUGAUGGUGCUUCCUCUGGAUGAUGGCGUGGCCUGCGAGGACAGGGUGGCCCGGCCUCCUACACCAGCGACUCAAUUCACACUCACUUCUCUGAUACUGUCAGGACGCAUCCGGUAGCAAUUUUUGAAGCAAUACUAAUGAACCUGUCAUCCAUCGUCAUUCAGGUGGACCACGUCGUCAAUUUUGGCCACACGGCACAUAAGACAUGUUAUUCUUGUUGUGCACAAGCAAAUUGCAAUUCCAUUGGAAGCAAAUUGUAUCUUUGUUGAAGCAAAUUCUAACAUUUUUGGAAGCAAUUUAAUUAUAUUUUGAAGCAGUUCAAUAUUACACGAAGACCGUCCUAUAACUGUUCGGAGCACAAUAUGGUAAUACUAGAUGUGGAUUUUUACUGAUCAAAAUAAUUUGUAGUGGAAGCAAUGUUACUAGCAGCCUGACGUGGAAUAUUUUUGGAUAGGAAACACAAAUAAGUUGCACUCAAAGCAGUUGGAAACAAUGUUCUUUUAGAAAUGGAUCCCUAUUUUGUCUAAGCAUAUGUAAUCCUAAAAGUGAAAAAAAAAAUUAAUUGUUGAAAACAAAAUUGUAUUUCAUUCCAAGCAAUUCAUUACUGGCCGAAAACAAUAAUUUGAUGUUAUGGAAACAAAAUAUGUCAUUAUACUACAAGGCAAAAGGUGAUGUUAAACUGAAGCAAAUUUCAGUCAAAGUUGAAGCAAAUUCUUAUACUAUGAAAACAUUGUUUUCUCGUGUUGAAAUUUUUUCUAUAGAUUCAGAACAUUAAAUCGAAGCAAACUCCAGUCGAGUUGGAAGCAAAAUCUGCUACAUUAGAAACAUAAACGAACGGUUAAAAAAAUAUUCUCCAACCCAAUUUAUCCUAAUGGAAAAAAAACAUGAAAAGUGAUCCCACUUCAUUCACGGAGGCAAUUAUUACAAAUUAAAGAAGAAAAAUCUUACAUGGCAAAUAUAACUACCUAGGUACACCUUACCACAAGCCGUUAUAUUCAUGCAUCAAAUGCACCGGUACUCACUAAUUCAAUGGCAAGCAGCUGGUCUGAUGGAUGGCAAGGCAUCAGACGCCUGAUGCCUGGUGCCUCCCAUUAGAAUAUAAGGUAUGCGUCGUGUGGAGUGAGCCACGUGACCCAAUCCAAUAGUAGACGAGAAAACAGAAACGGUCCGUUGGAUCUGCCUUGAUGUGGGCGAGGCCGGCCGAGGCUUCGGUCGGCCGGCCACCCAGCAGGAAUCGUUUCCUUUAUAUAUAAUUCUGCUGGUUGGUUUUUUAUUUGGUCAUUUUGUUGAAAAUUUUCAUGCAUCCAAAAAUAUUCACGAAUAUGAAAAUGUCUGUGACUACAAAAAUGUUCACUAAUGUAAAGAAAGUUUGUGAAAUCAAAUAAUUUCAUCUAAAAUUUCACUAACACAAAAAUUUGUCAAUUCAAAUAAAAGUUUAGUAAUAAAAAAGAAGUUCGUUAAUUCAAGAAAAACAUUCACGAAUUUAAAAAAUGUUCAUGAUACCCACCAAUUUUUGCAAAUUUAAAAAAUCUUUACAAGUUUGUGAAUUUGUCAAAAAAGAACAACACGAACCUUUGCGGUCAUGUAGCUAGGCGAACGGCUUCCUCUUCCUGUCUUUACCGAAAAAGGCUUUGGUCCCGUUUUAUAAAUAAAGCAAACCACCGAAACACAACGUCCAACAACAACCACAAUAGACCCUCCCACACACGCAAACACACGCUAUCACCACACACACACACACCCAAGACAGGAUACAUAGGUGAGGUGAUGAGCGCACCAACACCAUCCUAGCACUAUCACCACGAUGAGAUGAAGCCGCAUACGACGAACCGUGGACUCCAAAGUGGCGCCUUCAGGAAGGAACCGUGGACACCGGAGCGUCGCCACCGCCCGAUCCGAGGAUCAGAGUUUCCCGUGGAGCCGCACAAUGGGCGGUGAGAGCCGCGACGACGCUUUCAAGAAGGGAACGAGCUACGCCGCCGCCGGUCCAUCANNNNNNNNNNNNNNNNNNNNNNNNNNNNNNNNNNNNNNNNNNNNNNNNNNNNNNNNNNNNNNNNNNNNNNNNNNNNNNNNNNNNNNNNNNNNNNNNNNNNUCAACGACGCCGGCCGGCCUCGGUACUGCCGCCUCGCUCGCCCGCCCUCGCCGCCUCGCUCGCCCGCCCAACGCCGCAAAUUUCUACAGAGUUUACAGAGUAUAAACUUUGUAUAUACAAUUCCAAACAUAUACAAUACAAAAAUAUAAGUGAUGGUGUAUCCAAUGACAUGCAUUUCGUAAGUUAAUGGACAUAAUUUGUGUGUAAACAAGGUCAAAGUUUGUGAUAUUUGACUUUUGAAAAAAAUCUAUACAUACUACAUUAUGGAAUGGAUGGAGUAUAAAUUUUCUUGACAUGGAUUGUUUAAGUUGUAGGAAUAAAUCCCAUAUGGUAUAGUUUUUUCAUUGAUGUUUAUUUUUUUAUCGGGACAAUAACUCCAAUAACAUAAACUUCCUUAAAAACUUUCACACAAUCCAUGUUUGUUUUAAUGAAUGUCCUCAACGGUAAAAUAACGGUAAAAUCCCAUAAGGUAAGAAUUAGUUUAACAAAAACGGUAAAAUAACUCCCUCUCCGUGACGCCGUCGUCUGCCGCCCCGUCUCGCGCUCUACCGCGACACCCUCUCCCACCCCUUCCUCGCCCCCUCCUUUUGCCACCGCCCUUUCGCCACCGCCACCGCCCCCCUUCUUCACUUAAUUAAUUUGUUUUUACUACAUGUUUUCAGGACUGACAUAAUGGCGGACGAUAGAGCUGACCCGAUUAUGGACAACUAUGAUCCGGACGAUGAAGCACAUAUGUUCGGCAUCAUAAACGGCGAUAUUCUAUAUGUGCCGACCGGAGAAGAAGAAGAUGAUAUCUCUUCUUAUCUGAACCUUGACGGUGAAGAUGAAGGGCGCCGUCAGCAAGAUGAUGCCGAACAAAUGUCGAUAAACGACGAUCUUCAAAUGGAAGUAGCAACCACCUCCGGCGCCGAGGUAUAUAUAUACAUUGAGCCUCUGGUGAUACAAACUAACUGAUUUGAAUAAAUAUGUGUGUACUAACGCGCGCGACUCUCUUUCUUAUUUUAGCCCUCGGCCGGAUCGUCGAAACAAUCGAGUACGUCGUCAAAGCGUGGCGCAACCAAGACGAUGAAACAAGGAGAAACAUGCACCAUCGAGGUUNNNNNNNNNNNNNNNNNNNNNNNNNNNNNNNNNNNNNNNNNNNNNNNNNNNNNNNNNNNNNNNNNNNNNNNNNNNNNNNNNNNNNNNNNNNNNNNNNNNNCGGGAAGAAAGUGGCGGGAAGAAAGAGGCGGGAAGACAGGGAACAAAUGGCGGGAAGAAGAGGAAUCCAGAGCUGGUCAUCUAACCUUUAGUCCCGGCUGGUUGGUGCAACCGGGACUAAAUGUGGUUUUUGUGUCAUCUAAGAAAACUGUCGGUGGGAUAAGGACGUUUGAAUUGAAUUAGUUUUAUUUUUCUGAAUUUUUUGAUAUAUUAUUUGUAUUUUUAACAUAUUGAAUUGAAUUAGUUUUAUUUUUCUAAAAAUUUUUGAUAUAUUAUUUGUAUUUUUAACAUUUUGAAUUAAAUUAGUUUUAUUUUUCUGAAUUUUUUGAUAUAUUAUUUGUAUUUUUAACAUUUUGAAUUGAAUUAGUUUUAUUUUUCUUAAUUUUUGGAUAUAUUAUUUGUAUUUUUAACAUUUUGAAUUGAAUUAGUUUUAUUUUUCUUAAUUUUUUGAUAUAAUUUUUUGUGUUUUUAACAUAUUGAAUUGAAUUAGUUUUAUUUUUCUGAAUUUUUUGAUAUAUUAUUUGUAUUUUUAAGAUAUUGAAAAAGAAAAGUAUUUUGAAAAAUACCUUUAGUCGCUGUUGGCCAGACCAACCGCGACUAAAGGUCGUUGCGCGCGGGAACGAAAAAACCCUUUAGUCGCGGUUGGUUUUGCCAACCGCGACUAAAGGUAACCUUUAGUCGCGGGUCGCCUUCCCAACCNNNNNNNNNNNNNNNNNNNNNNNNNNNNNNNNNNNNNNNNNNNNNNNNNNNNNNNNNNNNNNNNNNNNNNNNNNNNNNNNNNNNNNNNNNNNNNNNNNNNUUGUGUUAAUUCAAAAGGAAUAUUUUUAUGGAAAAUUUUAAAAUAUUUAGAACACGAAUAUUUUUGCAAAAUUGUGAAAAAAAAAUCAAAUAUAUUAACACGGAAAUCCAAAGCGGCUCACUUAAGACCUAAGAUAUGUCAUUUAUAGCCUAUCUCUUUCUAUAUAUGGAAAGUCAAUAAAUUCUCAUCUAAACAUUGAGAUUACAUCCUUCCCAACCGACACCAACAAAGAUUUAUUUAGCUAAUGUAGUUAAAAAUAUAUACUUCCAUUCGCAACUGUUCUUACGUGCAAUGAACUUCGGCACAAUAUACUUCCAUAGUAAGUUACUACAAAAUANNNNNNNNNNNNNNNNNNNNNUUGUGAUCAUUACAUAGUAAGUUACUAGCGUGCUUAUACUUCCAUAGUAAGUUACUACAAAAUACAUGAGCUUGGCAACGCUACUUGUGAUCAUUUGAUAUGACUUACAAAUAGAUUAUACUUUACAUCAUUCCAGUGCCUCUAAACCUAUAUAUGGUCAUAAAGGUUGGACGGACAUCCCACCAGAAUCAAAAAACAAUAUAUGGUCAUAAUAUGGAUUAUAAGAUAAUAUUUUGUAUCUAGCCCGUGAGAAUGCACGGGUUGACGACUAGUCUAUUUAUAAUGAAAAAUCCACAUAUUUGAUAGAAAAACAUUAUUCAGGAAAAUCCAUACAUAUGGUGGCGGAUCAUUUAUUAGCAAAAAGUCCAAAAAAAACAUAGGAAAAAUAUCAAAGUUCAGAAGUACCAAAACAAAGACAAGUCGUACUAUUUUCCUUUCGCAAAACACAUUAAAUGGAGUAGAACAGUAAGAUACAAUUUAUUAGAGGAGCUGUAUGUAAAUAUAUAUUUCAUGCUCAUGAUAUACCUUCAGAUAGCAUGCAUUAAGAGUGCCCCGAAGAUCUGAAAAAUGAGACGGUCCAAGCACCUUUAAAAUGUAGGGUCUCUCUCGAACUCCACUCUUCAGUCUUCACAUCUUUGUGAAAUNNNNNNNNNNGACUAUAAUAAGGAGGACCAUGCUGAUUACUCUUCUCGUUGUUUUGCUCGCCUUCACCUUCAGCAGCCUAGUACUAGUAAGACUUGUGGUGAAGCUCCUUUACACCAAACUGACAAUUCAAGGCAUAGUCCAUUGUUCAGUUGUAAAGGGGUGUAGCUACUUGCUCUAGGUGAAGCUCAACCUUAACAGGUAUUCACUGAAAUGGUGGUAUAUUAAAACAGUGAUUGGAACGAGGGAACACGAUGUGCCCUUGAGAUCUGGUGGGGGAUUGNNNNNNNNNNCAUGUACUUCAUCUUGAUACGGUUAAUAUAUCCAAUAUACGUCUAACGCCAAGUUGGUUGGUAAAUACGUACCAAGAUGCCGAGAGAANNNNNNNNNNAGUAUUAUCAUCCAUCUAUGUCAUAUAUGUACUUCACCUUCGGCAGCCUAGUACUAGUAAGACUUGUGGUGAAGCUCCUUUACGCCAAACUGACAAUUCAAGGCAUAGUCCAUUGUUCAGUUAUAAAGGGGUGUACCUACUUGCUCUAGGUGAAGCACCUAUAAAAUGUAGGGUCUCUCUCGAACUCCACUCUUCAGUCUUCGCAUCUUUGUGAAAUGACUAUAAGAAGGAGGACCAUGCUGAUUACUCUUNNNNNNNNNNUCAACCUUAACAGGUCUACACUGAAAUGCUGGUAUAUUAAAACAGUCAUUGGAACGAGGGAACACGAUGUGCCCUUGAGAUCUGGUGGGGGAUUGUUGAAAUUGGUAGUGGGCAUUAGGCCCAUUAGAGAAUUUCAGAAAAAUCUCCAAGGGCCCAUGUAGGUGGUGGCAUGACAAGGUGGUGGGAAGUUUAGUCCCACCCCGCUAGUGGAGGAGAAGUUGGACCCCUUUAUAAGGGUCUCUCUUCCACAUGCUAUUGGAGAGUGAGAAGAGAAGGUACCCUCGCGCACUCCUCCUCCGCCGCCCGCCUCGCCACGGCACGGCACGUCACGUCACGUCACGUCACGUCGUGGGUUGCGGGAAUGAGCCGAGCCGAGCUCAUACCUACGCGCUUAUUUUUGCCGGUCAGGAACGGAGAAACCUACGCCCUUAUUUUUGCCGGUCAGGAACGGAGAAUACGUAACGGACACGGCACGAUCCGAGACGUCAGAUCGUGGGUUGUUACCGACUCGGACGUGGGUUCGGCCCACGUCUCUCCACCCAGCCGCAUUUAUAAGCAGGCUAUCGCCUACCCUAGCCGUCACGAGAAUCAGAUCGCAUCUGCCUCAUGCGUUCGUUCCUUUUGCUGCUGCUGCCGCCGGCGACUCCGUCCCGUUUACCACGUACACGGUCGACGGGAGAGCAGGCCUCCGAAACCUCGCCUCUCCGGUUCCUGUACGGGAGAGGGGCGAUUAGGUUUUUGGGGAGCGAUCACGCGACUGCUCGCCUCCGUCCGUCUGCUUCGUCUAUGUCCGCGUCGCCCUCGUCAUCGCCAUGUCUUCACCAAGCGAAGCUGACCGUCUCGUCUGCGAGAAGGCCGAAGCCGAGAAGAAGGCGGCGGAGGAUACAGCCGCCGCCACCGCUGCUGCUACCGCCAAUUGGCCGAUCGGAGGGUAUGAUAUGUUUAUCUCUCUCCUGUUUCUGUCNNNNNNNNNNACUCGCCUCCGUCCAUCUGCUUCGUCUACGUCUGCGUCGCCCUCGUCAUCGCCAUGUCUUCACCAAGCGAAGCUGACCGUCUCGUCCGCGUGAAGGCCAAAGCCGAGAAGAAGGCGGCAGAGGAUACAGCCGCCGCCACCGCUGCUGCUACCGCCAGUUGGCCGAUCGGAGGGUAUGAUAUGUUUAUCUCUCUCCUGUUUCUGUCUGCACUAGUAGUACUAUCUAUAUGCGUAGAUGUUUCUGCUAUAUGCGUAGUACUUGCUAGUAUACUCCGUGAUCAGUAUGUCAUGAAUCUAGUCAAUGCCAUGUUAGUAAUUAUUUCAUGUAUUAAUCUACUCGGAAAAUUGUCUUUAUACUCAACAAUAUCUGCUUGAGGGUCCAGCCAAACCUUGGAGGCGAAGAGGGCUCAACAUCCUUCAACAAAGACAGCUUGUCGAGUAAGGAUCUUCCCCGAAGUUCACCAGAGCCACGGCGAGCAUCAGCCACUGGGUUUACCCACUGAAAGUAUCUAUCGGCAAACCUAGUAUAAUGCCUCGAUCCGUAAAAUAAUCAUCAAAAUACGAAUCCACAUAAAAAAUGUUGCCUAAUCAUAGCCCGCAAACGCGUCGGAUCCAUAAAUAUUUUUGCGUUGUGCGGCAAAAUUCCCACCCCAACCCACGGAAACGCGGGUUCUGCCCCUUGACCCGUCGAUGCCAUUUAUAUAGCGGGAGCGGUUGGCGGAUGGGACAUUUCAACCCGCCCUUUUCCACCACCCACCGCCGUCGGGCUGCCGCCUACGAUUCCGGCCAUACCAUCCACCAGGAUCAUGCCGACGGGUCGUCACACGCAUGGGAUUGACCUCUACCCCUUCCCGCUGCCUCGGCCGGCCGGAAAGUUGCAAAUCGGCGAUUGUUUCUCGUGUCGGUCGGAUCUGGCAUAUUCGGCCACCAGCGGCUAUGUCAAGCCUUGGAUUGGUCGGGGAGCACCCCGCAUAGCCCCGGCAAAGCGCCAUCGCCAUGUACUGGUCCAUCCUCUAGUCACCGUCGUCGGUUUGCCGAGAGGGACUCGGUCGACCGUCGCCCGGGCUCGGUGCUCGCGUAGAGGCUUGUCAGCUUGCCGAUGUCGCUCAUACAGUUCAAACGACUGUACGAAGACAGUGCUGCGGCUAAGCCCUAGCAUGCGGCAACACCUCAGAUGGGUAUUCUUCAAAUGCAAUAACAACGGGGGUAUGUUCUUGUUUCCGUUCGGCUUUGUCAACUUAUUUGGUUCAAUUUCGGUAGCUUAUUGAGAUGUUCAUGUGUGUAGGAAGGUGAAUGCUCAUUUUGGUAGUGAAAAGAAGAAUACAUCGAUUUAUUGAUAGGAAGCAACUUAAUAGAUAUUCGUGCACUCCUUGGUAUAAUUGAGGCUAAUGAUGCGGUUGCAUGUGUAAUUUGAAAAGAAAUUAGAGGGAAAACAACGUCUAAUUCUUUAGAAUCAAAACCGAAGAAUAAAGAAUGUAAGAUCAAGAAUCUGCAGAUCAACAAUGACUGCAUAGAGAAGAUGUUGGUCGAACUAGUGGGAGUAGUUAUGGGAGUUGGAUAUCUUCUAAAAUGCCUAAUUAGGAUUCUUGUUUUCUUUGAUCUUGCUAUUUUAGCAAAGAUUUAAUGCAUUAUUAUGUAUCCAAUGCCUUUGAAGAAAAUAAUGAAGUAAAAAAAUGUGUUUUCAUGCACCAAAUUAAAAUGCAAAUUACUGAUUUAUGGGCAGACGGUGAACGACGGCCGAGCAGACCCCGCAAAUCAGACCCGUAAAAAAGGAUANNNNNNNNNNGAUGCCUUUGAAGAAAAUAAUGAAGUAAAAAAAUGUGUUUUCAUGCUCCAAAUUAAAAUGCAAAUUACUGAUUUACGGCGGACGGCGAACGACGGCCGAGCAGACCCCGCAAAUCAGACCCGUAAAAAAGGAUAUUGAGUUCGUUUUGCAGGGUCUGCUCGGCCGCCGUCCACGCCGGUCUGCAAAACAGGUUUUUUUCGUGAACUGUAAACGAUUUUUACAAAUCGGUGAUAUACUGGGUGUGCUAGAGAUGCUCUCACUUUGGUAAAUGGCCCCUUUACAUCCGUAUUGCUGUUCUUAUGUUGUUCCCCGUCCAGCGGAUAGUUGGCUGAUGCGGACAUUAGAAAAAGACACAAUUAUNNNNNNNNNNAAUUUGCAGGGUAUGCUCGGCCGCCGUCCACGCCGGUCUGCAAAAGAAGUUUUUUCGUGAACUGUAAACGACUUUUACAAAUCGGUGAUAUACAGGGUGUGCUAGAGAUGCUCUCACUUUGGUAAAUGACCCCUUUACAUCCGUAUUGCUGUUCUUAUGUUGUUGCCCAUCCAGCGGAUAGUUGGCUGAUGCGGACAUUAGAAAAAGACACAAUUAUACUGAUGAUUUGGGGGCAUUCAUAAUGUGCACCAUAUAAUUUACAUAUGUGCUGUCAAGAUUGCGACGCGUAGUUAAUCAUUCAUCAUGUAGUAGUUGGCUGGAGUAGAACAAAAGCAUAAAAUUCCCUUGUAAGCUAAAAAUAUCAAGUCAUUUGAUUGUAAAAAGAAACCGGUUCUCUGAACUACGGUUAUCUUAGCUAGAAAUAUCAAGUCAAAUGACCCAUGGGUCUCUGAUUAGUGUUGUCAUGCACUCUAGGUCAAGGUAGUGAAGCCUAUCUAUAUCUAUAUCUUAUAAUAAAAUCUUUGGUUUUGUCCCAUUUAGAUGAUUUCUAAAUCUUUAAUAUUGUGGAAAUCGUUUAUCUUUAACUGGCUGAUCCAUGCAGCUUGUAAACCGUCUCAUCCUAGCGACACGUGUCACACGUGGACCCGGCAAGCACACACCUUAUUCCCUUCGCAUCGUCUGUCCCUGUCCCUUGUCUCCCACCUUUGGAACCUUGUCCCCUCCUUCCUGAUUCUUCCUUUUCCUUUCUUUCCAUUGUUCCCAUCUCCACUUCUCCCCAUGGUUAUUUCCUUUUGUCCAAAAGGACCCCCUGUCGAACGAGAUUGUCAAAAGAGACCAGCUGCGAAUGGAAAGGAGGGAAAGGACCCCCACCCCNNNNNNNNNNCGUUCCCAUCUCCACUUCUCCCCAUGGUUAUUUCCUCCGUCGAGGAAGUGAGCGUCAAUUAUGCCGUGUGGCGUCUUGCUGUGAAGCUUUCGCCGUGUGUCGAUCCUAUGCUGCUGGUGCAGGCGCAAGCGAUGGCCGCGGGUUCGUCCAAGCACGUCGGCGCUGCAACCAGUGUCGAUGCUGCAAUUGAAAGGUCUUGCCGACAACAGAUGCUGCAGCGCCCAUCAACGAAGCCCCAUCGACGCUGCAAUGGAACUUCGUCAGGCUGCGGCGCAGCUUUUGCCGCACUACCGACGCCCUAAUGGAGCUUCGUCGACGCUGCAACGGAGCUUUCCGGGACUGCGUUGGAAUUUUUGAAGCAUCGCCAGUGUUGCAAUGGAGCUCCACCGAGGCUGUGAUGGUGAUGCAAUGGAGCUCCCCGGAGGUUUUCUAUUGAAGCAUUUGUUCGUGGUACGAUGAUGGGGCUGGCNNNNNNNNNNCUUUUGACGCAUCGCCAGUGUUGCAAUGGAGCUCCGCCGAGGCUGUGAUGGUGAUGCAAUGGAGCUCCCCCGAGGUUUUCUAUUGAAGCAUUUGUUCGUGGUACGAUGAUGGGGCUGGCGUGACCAGAAUCAACACACCGGCGAACGACGCUGGCCGAGGAAGGGUUGCUGCUCCAACAACACACUACUUCAUUCGCGACAGAAUGAUUCAAAUAAGAGGAAAGGAAAAGACCGUGCACUGCGAGCCUACGAUCAAUGGCCAAGCACGUCUCAAUCAGACGGCCGCACAUGCGGACGAUCAACGGCCGACUAAUAUUGAAAACACGAUUGUUUCUCCUAAAAUUUUCUUCUACAAUGGGACCCACAUGAAUUUUUAUCCGUCGGCACCCGUUCUCUCAAUUAGCGCACAGAGCCGAGAUAGGCNNNNNNNNNNGCGAUCAACGGCCGACUAAUAUUAGAAAACGAUUGUUUCUCCUAAAUUUUUCUUCUACAAUGGGACCCACAUGAAUUUUCAUCCGUCGGCACCCGUUCUCUCAAUUAGCGCACAGAGCCGAGAUAGGCCGACCCAUUAGCGGAAACUGUCCAAGAAAGAGAAAAAAAAUACCGCCCAUCAGGAAUUGAACUCCUUCGCCACUGUACUAAAUUGAGCAACUCGAAUAUUUCGCAAAGUUGUCAAAAAAACUCUAAGAUUUUUUCUAAAGAAAAAAAAUCGUUUUUUAGUUUUUUAAACCCGAUUAUUUAUUUAAACACACACAACUUUCUCAAACUAGGUGGUACUAUNNNNNNNNNNNNNNNNNNNNNNNNNNNNNNNNNNNNNNNNNNNNNNNNNNNNNNNNNNNNNNNNNNNNNNNNNNNNNNNNNNNNNNNNNNNNNNNNNNNNGACCUCCUCGGUCAAAUCCGAUUCAACUAAAGUUGGAGAAACUGACACCCGCCAGUCAUCUUUGAGCAACGGAGUUACUCGUAGCGAUGAAACCAGUCUCUCGUAAGCGUACGAGUAAUGUCGGUCCGAGCCGCUUCGAUCCAACAAUACCGCGGAAUCAAGAAAAGAGUAAGGAGGGCAGCAAAACGCACAUCACCGCCCACAAAAACUUUUGUGUUCUACUCGAGAAGACAUCUACGCAUGAACCUAGCUCAUGAUGCCACUGUUUGGGAACGUCGCACGGGAAACAAAAAUUUUCCUAUGCGCCCGAAAACCUAUCAUGGUGAUGUCCAUCUACGAGAGGGGAUUUCCGAUCNNNNNNNNNNUGUUGGGGAUCGUCGCACGGGAAACAAAAAAUUUCCUACGCCCACGAAAACCUAUCAUGGUGAUGUCCAUCUACGAGAGGGGAUUUCCGAUCUACGUACCCUUGUAGAUCGCACAGCAGAAGGGUUAGUGAACGCGGUUGAUGUAGUGGAACGUCCUCACGUCCCUCGAUCCGCCCCGCGAACCGUCCCACGAACCGUCCCGCGAUCCGUCCCACGAUCUACUCCGAUCUAGUGCCGAACGGACGGCACCUCCGCGCUCAGCACACGUACAGCUCGACGAUGAUCUCGGCCUUCUUGAUCCAGCAAGAGAGACGGAGAGGUAGAAGAGUUCUCCAGUAGCGUGACGGUGCUCCGGAGGUUGGUGAUGAUCUUGUCUCAGCAGGGCUCCGCCCGAGCUCCGCAGAAACGCGAUCUAGAGGUAAAACCGUGGAGAUAUAUGGUCGGUCUGCCGUGGCAAAGUUGUCUCAAAUCAGCCCUAAUACCUCAGUAUAUAUAGGAGGAAGGGAGGGGAGGAGGCAGCCUCAAACCCUCAAGGUUUGGCCGAAAUUUGAGGUGGNNNNNNNNNNCUGCCGUGGAAAAGUUGUCUCAAAUCAGCCCUAAAACCUCAGUAUAUAUAGGAGGGAGGGAGAGGAGGAGGCAGCCUCAAACCCUCAAGGUUUGGCCGAAAUUUGAGGUGGAGGAGUCCUACUCCAAUCCUACUUGGAGUAGGAUUCCACCUUCCCACUUGGAAACUCUUUCGACCUUGUGUUUUUUCCUUCUCAAACCUUAUGGGCCUUAGUGGGAACUUAUUCCAGCCCACUAGGGGCUGUUUUAUCUCUUCCCAUAGCCCAUGAGACCCCUUGGGGCGUGACACCCCUCCCGAUGGUCCCCGGCACACCUCCCGGCACUCCCGGUACACUACCGAUGAGCCCGAAACUUUUCCGGUAAUGCCCGAAAACUUUCCGAUAACCAAAUGAGGUCAUCCUAUAUAUCAAUCUUUGUCUCCGGACCAUUCCGGAAACCCUCGUGACGUCCAUGAUCCCAUACAGGACUCCGAACAACAUUCGGUAACCAACCAUAUAACUCAAAUACGCAUAAAACAACGUCGAACCUUAAGUGUGCAGAUCCUGCGGGUUCGUGAACUAUGUAGACAUGACCCGAGAGACUCCUCGGUCAAUAUCCAAUAGCGGGACCUGGAUGCCCAUAUUGGAUCCUACAUAUUCUACGAAGAUCUUAUCGUUUGAACCUCAGUGCCAAGGAUUCAUAUAAUCCCGUAUGUCAUUCCCUUUGUCCUUCGGUAUGUUACUUGCCCGAGAUUCGAUCGUCAGUAUCCGCAUACCUAUUUCAAUCUCGUUUACCGGCAAGUCUCUUUACUCGUUCCGUAAUACAAGAUCGCGUAACUUACACUAAGUCACAUUGCUUGCAAGGCUUGUGUGUGAUGUUGUAUUACCGAGUGGGCCCCGAGAUACCUCUCCGUUACACGGAGUGACAAAUCCCAGUCUUGAUCCAUACUAACUCAACGAACACCUUCGGACAUACCUGUAGAGCAUCUUUAUAGUCACCCAGUUACGUUGCGACGUUUGAUACACACAAAGCAUUCCUCCGGUGUCCGUGAGUUAUAUGAUCUCAUGGUCAUAGGAACNNNNNNNNNNGAUACCUGUAGAGCAUCUUUAUAGUCACCCAGUUACGUUGCAUUCCUCCGGUGUCCGUGAGUUAUAUGAUCUCAUGGUCAUAGGAACAAAUACUUGACACGCAGAAAACAAUAGCAACAAAAUGACACGAUCAACAUGCUACGUCUAUUAGUUUGGGUCUAGUCCAUCACAUGAUUCUCCUAAUGAUGUGAUCUCGUUAUCAAGUGACAACACUUACCUGUGGCCAGGAAACCUUGACCAUCUUUGAUCAACGAGCUAGUCAACUAGAGGCUUACUAGGGACAGUGUUUUGUCUAUAUAUCCACACAAGUAUUGUGUUUCCAAUCAAUACAAUUAUAGCAUGGAUAAUAAACGAUUAUCAUGAACUAAGAAAUAUAAUAAUAACUAUGCCUCUAGGGCAUAUUUCCAACGAUAUGGUCAUAAAGGUUGGACGGACAUCCCACCAGAAUCAAAAAACAANNNNNNNNNNUGUCAUAAUAUGGAUUGUAAGAUAAAAUUUUGUAUCUAGCCGGUGCGAAUGCACGGGUUGACGACUAGUCUAUUUAUAAUGGAAAAUCCACAUAUUUGAUAGAAAAACAUUAUUCAGGAAAAUCCAUACANNNNNNNNNNGCAAGUAUUGUGUUUCCAAUCAAUACAAUUAUAGCAUGGAUAAUAAACAAUUAUCAUGAACUAAGAAAUAUAAUAAUAACUAAUUUAUUAUUGCCUCUAGGGCAUAUUUCCAACAGUCUCCCACUUGCACUAGAGUCAAUAAUCUAGUUCACAUCACCAUGUGAUUCCAACGAAUCCAACACGCAUAUAGUUAUGGGGUCUGAUCACGUCUUGCUCGUGAGAGAGGUUUUAGUCAACGGUUCUGAAACUUUCGGAUCCGUGCGUUCUUUACAAAUCUUUAUGUCAUCUUAUAGAUGCUGCUACUACGUGCUAUUCGGAAAUGCUCCAAAUAUCUACUCUACUAUACGAAUCCGUUUCACUACUCAUAGUUAUUCGGAUUAGUGUCAAAGCUUGCAUCGACGUAACCCUUUACGACGAACUCUUCAACCACCUCCAUAAUCGAGAAAAAUUCCUUAGUCCAUUAGUUACUAAGGAUAAAUUUUGACCGCUGCUAGUGAUUCAAUCAUGGAUCACUCUCUGUACCUCUCAACAGACUUUGAGUCAAGGCACACAUCAGGUGCGGUACACAGCAUAACAUACUUUAGAGUCUACGGCUAAGGCAUAGAAGACGACCUUCGUCUAUUCUCUUUAUUCUGCCGUGGUCGGGUUUUGAGUCUUACUCAAAUUCACACCUUACAACGCAACCAAGAACUCCUUCUUUGCUGAUCUAUUUUGAACUCCUUCAAAAACUUGUCAAGGCAUGCAUCUUGUUGAAACUUCUAUUAAGCGCUUUCGAUCUAUCUCCAUAGAUCUUUGAUGCUCAACGUUCAAGUAGCGCAAUCCAGGUAUUCCUUUGAAAAACUUCUGUCAAACAACCUUGUAUGCCUUACAGAAAUUCUACAUUACUUCUGAUCCACAAUAUGUCAACAACGUAUACUUAUCAGAAAUUCUAUAGUGCUCCCACUCACUUCUUUGGAAAUACAAGUUUCUCAUAAACCUUGUACACACCCAAAAUCUUUGAUCAUCUCAUCAAAGUGUAUAUUCCAACUCCGAGAUGCUUGCACCAGUCCAUUGAAGGAUCACUGGAGCUUGCAUACUUGCUAGUAUCUUUAGGAUCGACAAAACCUUCUGGUUGUAUCACAUACAAUGUUUGCUCAAGGAAACCGUCGAGGAAACAAUGUUUUGACAUCCUACGUGCAAUAUUUCAUAAAUAAUGCAUCAACAACUUCUAACAGACCUUUAGCAUCGCUAUGAGUGAGAAAGUCUCAUCAUAGUCAACUGUUUGAUCUUGUCGAAAACAUCUUUGCGACAAGUCGAGCUUUUCUUAAUAGUGACUUAUCACCAUCAUCGUCUGUCUUCUUUUAAAGAUCCAUUUUUACUCAAUAGUCCUAUGACCAUCAAGUAGUUCUUCUAAAGUCUACACUUUGUUUUCAUACAUGGAUCCUUUCUCGGAUUUCAUGGCUUCCAGCCAUUUUGUCGGAAUCUGGGCCCACCAUCGCUUUCUCCAUAACUCGUAGGUUCACUGUUGCUCAACAACAUGACCUCCAAGACAGGGUUACCGUACCACUCUGGAGUAGUACGCGACCUUGUCAACCUACGAGGCUUGUAGUAACUUGAUCCCAUGCUUGAUGAUCACCAUCAUCAGCUUCCACUUCAAUUGGUGUAGGCGCCACAGGAACAAUUUCCUGCGCCCUGCUACACACUGGUUGAAGUGAUGGUUCAAUAACCUCAUCAAGUUCUACUACCCUCCCACUCAACUCUUUCGAGAGAAACCUUUCCUCGAGAAAGGAUCCGUUUCUAGAAACAAACACUUUGCUUUCGGAUCUGAGAUAGGAGAUGUACCCAACUGUUCCGGAUAUCCUAUGAAGAUGCAUUUAUCCGCUUUGGGUUUGAGCUUAUCAGACUGAAACUUUUUCACAUAAGUAUCGAAGCCCCAAACUUUCAAGAAACGACAGUUUAGAUUUCUCUAAACCUCAGUCUAUACUGUGUCAUCUCAACGGAAAUACGCGGUGCCCUAUUUUAAAGUGAAUGCGGUUGUCUCUAAUGCAUAACCCAUAAACGAAAGUGGUAAUUUGAUAAGAGACAUCAUAGCAUGCACCAUACCAAAUAGUACGUGGCUAUGACUUUCAGUCACAUCAUCACACUAUGAUGUUCUAGGUGGCAUGAACUGCGAAACAAUUUCCACAUUGUCUUAACUGCGUACCAAAACUCGUAACUCAGAUAUUCAUUUCUAUGAUCAUAUCGUAGACAGUUUAUCCUCUUGUUACGACGAACUUCACUCUGAAACGGAAUUGAAAUUUUCAAUAUUUCAGACUUGUGAUUCAUUAAGUAAAUACUCCUGUAUCUACUCAAGUUGUCAGUGAAGUAAGAACAUAAUGAUAUCCACUGCGUGCCUCAGCACCCAUUGGACUGCAUACAUCAAAAUGUAUCACUUCCAACAAGUUACUAUCUUAUCUCAUCUAAAUGAAAACAAGGCCUUGCUCAUGUGGUAUGAUUUGCAUAUCACUAGUGAUACGAAAUCAGGUGAGUACAAAGAUCCAUCAGCAUGGAGCCUCUUCAUGCAAUUUAUACUAACAUGACUCAAGCGGCAGUGCCACAAGUAAGUGGUACUAUCAUCAUUAACUCGUAUCUUUUGGCACCAAUAUCAUGAACAUGUGUAACACUACGAUCGAGAUUCAAUAAACCAUUGAAGGUGAUUAUUCAAGCAAAUAGAGUAACCAUUAUUCUCUUUGAAUGAAUAAUCGUAUUGCAAUAAACACGAUCCAAUCAUGUUCAUGCUUAACGCAAGCACCAAAUAACGAUUAUUUAGGUUUAACACCAAUCCCGAUGGUAGAGGGAGCGUGCGACGUUUGAUCAUAUCAACCUUGGAAACACUUCCAACACGUAUCGUCACCUCGCCUUUAACUAGUUUCCGUUUAUGUCGUAGCUUUCAUUUCGUGUCACUAAUCACUUAGCAACCGAACCGGUAUCUAAUACCCUCGUGCUACUAGGUGUACUAGCAAAGUACACAUCAACAUCAUGUAUAUCAAAUAUACUUCUCCCGACUUUUGCCAGCCCACUUAUCUACCAAGUAUCUAGAGUUGCUCCGCCUCAGUGACUGUUCCCCUCAUUACAGAAGCACUUAGUCUCGGGUUUGGGUUUAAUCUUGGGUCUCUUCAUUAGCGCAGCAACUGUUUUGCCGUUUCACGAAGUAUCCCUUCUAGCCCUCGCCUUUCUUGAAACUUAGUGGUUUUACUAACCAUCAACUAUUGAUGCUCCUUCUUGAUUUCUACUUUCGCAGUGUCAAACAUCGCGAAUCGCUCANNNNNNNNNNNNNNNNNNNNNNNNNNNNNNNNNNNNNNNNNNNNNNNNNNNNNNNNNNNNNNNNNNNNNNNNNNNNNNNNNNNNNNNNNNNNNNNNNNNNUUUCAAGAAGGGAACGAGCUACGCCGCCGCCGGUCCAUCAGACGGUAGAACAGGUUUUCACCCCGGACAACACUCACCGCCACUGAACACCACACCCUGGCUACCACGCCGCCCACACGGCCAUGGCCACCGGGCAGCACCAAGCCACGACCUCCGCCCAAGAGCACCGCGCUACCACCACGAGAGUCGGCGCCCCGCAUCCAAGACCUUGACACCACCUCACCCGAGACCAAACGCUACCCCAACCAAAGAGAUGGGCGAAAAGGUCCAACCUUUUGCACCCCUGGGAGACCCCCAGCGCUAAGACCCAAUAGGCCGGCCAGCGCUGGCCUCCAUCGACCCGUCCUGCAGCACCGAGCGGGAGACGAGUUUGGUCCUGCAGCACCGUGAGGGGAUGAGGUCAGUCCUGCUACACCGUGCGCGAGACGAGCUUGGUGCUGCUGCACGUGUGCGAGACGAGCUCGGUCCUUCUACACAGGAUGCGAGACGAGCGAUGGACUGCAGCUGGGAGAGGGCCAACCCUUAGAUGGAAGUAGCGCAUGGGCGACGCGGAAAUGGAACAAAGGUUAAAACAGUCUGAACGGAGACGAGCCAACACCGGAGAAGCCGGCNNNNNNNNNNNNNNNNNNNNNNNNNNNNNNNNNNNNNNNNNNNNNNNNNNNNNNNNNNNNNNNNNNNNNNNNNNNNNNNNNNNNNNNNNNNNNNNNNNNNUUGUGUUAAUUCAAAAGGAAUAUUUUUAUGGAAAAUUUUAAAAUAUUUUAGAACACGGAUAUUUUUGCAAAAUUGUGAACAAAAAAUCAAAUAUAUUAACACGGAAAUCCAAAGGGGCUCACUUACUUGAUCCAUCCAACCGGUCAAUAAGAGCAAGUACAAUAGGAUGACGUAUGCGAGCUGUAAGACUUAAAAUAAUAUAUUUGUGAUGAGUUGAAAGAGAGAGAAGAGAAGCGGGCUACAAACUAACAGCCGGCUGUAACACGUNNNNNNNNNNAGAUAUUUUUGCAAAUUUGUGAACAAAAAAUCAAAUAUAUUAACACGGAAAUCCAAAGCGGCUCACUUACUUGAUCCAUCCAACCGGUCAAUAAAAGCAAGUACAAUAGGAUGACGUAUGCGAGCUGUAAGACUUAAAAUAAUAUAAUUGUGAUGAGUUGGAAGAGAGAGAAGAUGAGAGAGAAGAGAAGCGGGCUACAAACUAACAGCCGGCUGUAACACGUGCUUUAGACACUUUGUGAGAGAGAAUGGUGGGCCUUGUAUCAAUAAAGUAGUACUCAUUUUCAUCUACCUAUUGUACUUACGGACUAUAAACUUGGCUAUAGAUGACGUGUCAACAUCAUAUAGCCAGCAGCUGGCUGUACUAUUAACCAUGCUCUAAGACCUAAGAUAUAUCAUUUAUAGCCUAUCUCUUUCUAUAUAUGGAAAGUCAAUAAAUUCUCAUCUAAACAUUGAGAUUACAUCCUUCCCAAACGACACCGACAAAGGUUUAUUUAGCUAAUGUAGUUAAAAAUAUAUACUUCCGUUCGCAACUGUUCUUACGUACAAUGAACUUCGGCACAAUAUACUUCCAUAGUAAGUUACUACAAAAUACAUGAGCUUGGCAACGCUACUUGUGAUCAUUUGAUAUGACUUACAAAUAGAUUAUAUAUACUUUACAUCAUUCCAGUGCCUCUAAACCUAUAUAUGGUCAUAAACCUAUAAACUCCACUCUUCAGUCUUCACAUCUUUGUGAAAUAACUAUAAGAAGGAGGACCAUGCUGAUUACUCUUCUCGUUGUUUUGCUCGCUUUUUCAGGUAUUAUCAUCCAUCUAUGUCAUAUAUGUACUUCACCUUGAGACGGUUAAUAUAUCCAAUAUAGGUCUAACGCCAAGUUGGUUGGUAAAUACGUACCAAGAUGCCGAGAGAAGGACUAUUAACUUUUUGUGUGUUUCACUUGUUAAUUUCGUGUCUGGUUUGAACAACAGGCCCAAUCAAAGGACAAGAUCACUUGGGAAGAGGUGAUGGCAGUGACUUGGCCCCUCCUCCGGAUCCAGGGAGCAGUCAUUUGGCUCCUCCUCCACCUCNNNNNNNNNNUAGGCCCAAUCAAAGGAGAAGAUCACUUGGGAAGAGGUGAUGGCAGUGACUUGCCCCCUCCUCCGGAUCCAGGGAGCAGUCAUUUGGCUCCUCCUCCACCUCNNNNNNNNNNGUCUAACGCCAAAUUGGUUGGUAAAUUCGUACCAAGAUGCCCAAAGAAGGACUAUUAACUUUUUGUGUGUUUCACUUGUUAAUUUCGUGUCUNNNNNNNNNNCUCCAUCUCGAAAGAUCAAUCCACCUCCACCUCCAAAGACAGAUUUGCCUCCUCCUCCACCUCCACCUCCAAAGACUGAUUUGACCCAGCCACUUUCAGAACCAUGUGUGGAAUGAAGUUGUACAGAGGGCCGUGCAUCAACAUCCUUUGCGCUACUGCAUGUGUCG